rnacentral:lncRNA from 1 species
ACUGAAUAAGCACCUUUCGACAAAUACUUAUCUAGUUGGACAUUCUGUGACAUUGGCUGAUAUCGUGAUGGUUUGCAACCUUUAUUAUGGAUUUAAGACUGUCAUGACGAAGAACUUUACAUCACAAUUUCCUCAUGUCGAGAGGUACUUAUGGACAUUGGUGAAUCAGCCGAAUUUCAAGAAGGUCAUCGGUGAAGUGAAGCAAGUCGAGUCAGUUCCACCUAUUCAGUCAAAGAAGUCAGCUCCUAACCCAAAAGCCAAAAAGUCACCUGAAAAAGAAACACCGAAAGCUAAAGAAGUGGCAGUGGUGGAAGAAGCACCAAAGCCUAAAGCCAAGAAUCCUCUGGACUUACUCCCCCCAAGUAAGAUGAUCUUGGAUGAUUGGAAGAGGUUGUAUUCAAAUACAAAAACCAAUUUCCAUGACAUUGCUAUCAAAGGUACCAUUUUCUCGAACCCAUCCUCUUUGUAAUUAAAUCUCCAAUUUUUUGUAAGAUUUGAGUCACCUAAUCCUUGGUCUGAUAAACCUGUUUAUGGCGGCACAGGUUUUUGGGACAUGUAUGAUCCUGAGGGUUACUCACUCUGGUUCUGCAACUACAAGUUCAACGAAGAAAACACAGUUUCCUUUGUCACCAUGAACAAAGUGGGUGGAUUUUUGCAGCGUAUGGACUUGGUUCGCAAGUACGCUUUUGCAAAGAUGCUGAUCAUUGGAUCCUCACCUCCCUUCAAGGUGAAGGGUCUCUGGCUGUUCCGUGGUCUUGAGAUUCCGCAGUUUGUGCUUGAUGAAUGCUAUGACAUGGAUCUGUAUGAGUGGACCAAAGUAGACAUAGCUGAUGAAGUCCAGAAGAACCGUGUUAAUGCUAUGAUUGAGGAUCUAGAACCCUUUGAGGGUGAAGAUCUUUUGGACGCCAAGUGUUUCAAGUGAUUUCAUGUCUGGUAGUUGUUUUUUUAUACUGUUUAUUUAUUGUUUAUGAACAGUUUUGUUGUAAUCUCCUCACUUUUAUUUAGUUUUCAUAAAACAAAUUUUGGAUGUUAUUUAGUCAAGUCAGUUAUAUAUUGUAGUUGGUAAUUCGUUGUAUCGCAAUCAUCGUGAUGUUAGCGGAAUUUGUAUGAAUGUAGACAUGAGGUCUAGGAAAAGUUAGUCGUCACCGAGCUUGAUUGAUCACAUAUGAUUUUUAAUCGGGGUGGCGGGUACGUUCUUAAUGAUUUUCGAAAUUUUUAAUUUUUAUGCAUACUCUUUAAGUCUAAAGUUGACUCCUAAGAUCUUAAAUUAUAAAUUCAUUUUUUUAUUCAUCAAACAUACAAAAGGGAGGGAGAAGAGAGGACUGGGGAGUACAACAUUUCAACCAAUUGAAAUUUACCUAGAUUGUUUCUUGCUUUUAAAUCUCAAAAGAUGUUUGAAUGCUUUAAAAAUCUUCCAUUUCCUCUUCACCAAGGUUUUCACUUGAUGCUUUUCCUGUUGCUGUUGCUGGUUUGUAAUUUUUCCUGUAGGGUCGUCGUCAUCACUACUAUCACCACUGUCCAGUAAUGUAUGGCCAACCUUCAAGUACCCACCACCAGCAGUAGAAAAUGAAGAUUUUCUUCUGAUCAACACCUUACUUACAAAUCGUUGCACCUUCACAGCAUAUCUCGAUCUUGCUGCACAAGGGUAGUUGUUAUGAAUAUGACCCUCCCUCUCCCACAUCUUAGUGUACCCAUUCAUUCCCUUUCUCCUCGCAAGCUUUGUAUGUGUUCUGGUUUCUGAUUUGGAACCAUGGAAGAGCAACAGGUAAGAUGGUGUUAAACAAAGUGUGGGAUUUAAAAUGCUAGGGAAGAGAGCGGUGGGGAUGGGUUAUAGUGCUUUUGCUGCUACAAUCUUCAAAUAUUUUUGGUUGUUUCUGACAAAAUAUAUGUACAUAAGUGAGAUCCAAAUUCCACACCUGUUUGGCUGUUUCCAUAUUUCGAUAUUAAAUCAAAAUUAAAAUGAUCACAACUUUGGAUGAUCUUAUAUUAUUCAGACACAGAUACAGGAAAUAAUCCUUCAAAAUCUAAAAACUUCAACUACAGUAUUGGAUUAUUCAACAAUUUUAAACCUGUGAUGCAGCUCAUCAAUAAUUAAUAACCAGACAAUAAUUUACAUACUUUUUAUAAUAACACGAAUAAAUUAUCACGUGUUCUUCAUUCAAUUUAUUCAGAAAAACGGAUCAGAAAAUGAGAGAAAAGAUUCAGAUAUACACAUCUUUUUUCUAUUAAUGUAAUUAACAUCUUAAAUGAAAUCCAGAUAUUCGUUACAAACAAAUGAAUACAUUUAUAAUUUUCCCUACAAGAAUCUCUUCAAUUUCAAUUUCUGGAGAUCCAUUACAUAUCUGCAAUUUAAAAAACAUGUUAAAAAAAUGAAAAUUGUAUAAUAAAUGGUAAACAGCUUAUUAACAGAAUACACUAAAGAACAUUUUUCACUCUUUUGAUUAAAAAAAUCAAACAUUUUUCACACUCAAACAUCAAACAAACAUAUUAUCCAUUUCCAAUUUAACCGAUAUAUUAUCGAGUUUGAGUAUGAACAAUUCCUGAAAAGCUCGAUUCGUUUGCAACACUAUUGGGUGAGAAAAGAUUUUCAUUUUUCCGAAAGAAAAAAAGUCUUAUGUUCCAGAUACAAGAAAAUUGAAGAAGAAUUGAGUUGGGUAAAAAAUAGUUAAGAAAAUAAAAAGAGAAGGAGAAAUUUAUUGGCUAUGUAGGAAAAAGUAUUUGAUUUUUCAAAUCAUAACAGGAGCAUGACAUGGGAUGUUUGUUCUAAAUUUUGUUCGAUUCUAGUUUCUGUGACAAUUUCAUAUUCAGGUAUACCAUUCUUUGUAGCAACGGCUAUAGGUUGGAAAGAGUAGCAAAUUGGAUCUCACGUAGAGUUAUAUCAACCAUAAGAAACAUUACGAAACACAAAACGCAUAACUAAGAUCUAAAAUAGUCUAAUAUAUAUCAAUAAUCAUUACCAUCCGGAUAAACGGUGGAUUUACACUUCUCCAACAUCACCAUGAUCGUGAUUGUCCCCGUUCUUUCCAUCAUCACCGUGAUCGUGAUCAGAUUCGUCGUCGCUAUAAUCCUCGUCAAAUGGCUUCUGCUUGUGAAAGAUGCAACAUUUCUUAGAGCUCUUCUUAUUCAAGAACUCGUUAUCUACUGUACCUUCCUUCCAAGACACCUUCUUCUUCGGUACUCUUAGGCAGAGCACUACGCUCUGCGGUGUUGUAGACGAAAGCGGUGGUUCUUCUAAGGUUAGGGUUACGGUGCUGGAAGCCUCUGUCGUCGACAUCGUCGCCUCUUGUUUUCAACAUUCACAAAUUAAGUAUAAAUAUAAAAUAAAUAACAUUCACAAAUUAAAUAUAAUAAAUAAAUAUUUUAUUAUAAUAAUAAUAUAUUUGAUAAAAAAUUAAUUGUGUCGAUAUGUCCGAGUGGUUAAGGAGACAGACUCGAAAUCUGUUGGGCUUUGCCUGCGCAGGUUCGAAUCCUGCUGUCGACGAAUAUUUUUUAAAUUUAAUUCUUAAUAUUAAUCUUACGACGACUAUUAUAAUUUAUAAGCACUCUUUCCUUGAUUGUUAUAUUUUUUAUAAACAAAUAUGCAAAAUUCCCAUGAAUUAAUUUAUUGGACUCCGAAGUUUAAUCAUUCCUAAAUUUCCCAUCAAAGCCCCUCCCCUCUCCCCCCCCCAAAUCUCUCUUGCUCUUUCUAGAUUGGUUGGUGUCAUCUGCAAGACUGCAAUGGCGGAAGGAGGGGUAGGAGGCGACAGACAUCAGAUUCCUAACAAGUACAAUCUCGAUGCGAAGUGGGACGCUUGCAUCGACUUCUCUCUUCGUCGCGUUCUCUACUCUUCCGUUGCCGGUGCCUUCGGGGGGCUUCUCUUAUUCCGUAAUACCUUUUCUCUUUGAUAUACAAUUGCGGAUUUAAUAAACCAGGCAUAGGUAUUUUUUUUAUUGAUUUCAGUAUUUGCUAUGUGAUUUUUUUUUUCCAGGCAGUCCUGUUACCCGAUGGGCGUCUGUAGCAUUGGGCGCUGGAGUGGGAAUUGGAUCAGCAUAUACGGAGUGCUCUUACAUGUUCAGCACAUCGUCCCCAAAAUUGGCAGAUGUUAAAGCUUCCUCUCAAGUAAGUACAAAACUUUAUUUUUCUGAAUUUCUUUUCAAAAUAUACAUAAACUCAUUUUAUUAUUAUUAUUUGAUUAUUUCUAGUACUUUUAAAUUUCGAUAUACCAUGAAUAAUGAAUUCAUAAAUUAUAAACAAAACAUCUUACUAAUAAAGUAUAUAGGCGCAUUUGUAUAAGUCUAUACUUACUGGUUACCACCCCAACCAUCUUAAUUCCUUUAUCAGGAAAUAAGAAAACAAACUGAUAUUAGUGUCCACACACAACUACAUGGUUUACUUGUCAAAACAUCAUUGUAACAUUAGAUAUGGGAUGAUAAAACAUCUUGUCAAAUAUUGGUCAAAAAGAAAAUUUAAGGUGUCAAUUACAAAAGUUUGGUUUGAUUUCACUCCUUUAACUUUGUGUCUUCACAUUUGCUAACACGAAAUUACUUCAAAGUGCUUUAUGUUGACCUGGUUCUAUAGAUUGAGGCCAUUGUAUUUUAACCAAUGAGAUUUGUUCUUCCAUGUUAAUUUUUAUUGAUAAAACAUGUUAGGGAAUUUUCUUCAAUUGCUAGGAACAUGUUUAUUGUUUCAUCAAAUCACCCACUUUAAUUCUUUCUUUGACAGUGUAAGGAUUGCAUUUCAUAAGAAAAAUUGUAAGAAAUUGAUAGAUUGAUUCGAUAAAACAUUGUGGUCAGUGGUGUUUCGUAUCAUGUAUUCGUGUUAUUGGCAAUUUCUUACCAAUGGCACUUAAAUUGACAUUGGCAAUCAAGACCUACAUUUCAACAUUAAAGUAAAGUCGUUGGAAAUCAGAACACUCUUAUAUUGACUUAAUGGUGUUCUUUUUAUAGAGUAGUUGAUUGUAUUUGAUGCUAAUUCAUAUGAUUACUAAUUCUCAUCAAACUUAUUUUUGUAUUUAUAGGUUUCGCCAUUGAUUUUUUUUCCUCUCCUGUAUCUUAUAUAUCUCAUAUUUAGCGUUCUUUAUGUAUUUACAUACUCAUAUCUAAUGCCUAGUUUAGUAGUCUGCAAACAACAUGCAUUUGAUAUUUUAACCCAAAAAAAUGCAUUUGAUAUUUUACGCUACACAUAAUGUAAGUGUGUUUUUAAAUUCAACAUCAUCUCCUUAUCAUGUUCUGAUCAUGAAGUCAGUUAAAUAAAAAAUGAAAAAUAAAUCACGCUUCUUCCCUUGUAUCAAAUUUACUCAAAAAAAUCAUGUUGCUCGUGUAACUUGAACUUGUUAAUGAUGUUUUUCUUCUUGGUUCUUCGUUGACAGGAGGAAUAAAAUGGGUGCUGAAGUCUACUAGUUGAUGCUGUUGGAAGAAACGAUUUUAUCACUUUAUCCCUUUUGAUCCUGAUCUCUGUGAUUGAGUUUGAGUAUUGUUUUAUGUUUUUUCACUUUUCUUAAAAAAAGUGCCUCUCAAAACUCAAUAGGAAUUUAUCAAUUUCAUCAGUCAUCUUUUUCAUUGAUUUUCAUUCCUUGUUACUAAUUUCAAAGGAAAAAUAAAAAUACCAUCAACAAUUUUUUAUGAAGCUUACUUAACAAAUUCCUUCUCCAAUAUUGUUGUUGAUAUUGGGUAUGCUAUUUUUCUAUCUUUUUCUCCUUCCCUCUUUGUAUUGAAAGGUGAAGUAGAAAUACAUACAUUACAAUUCAUACACACACUACUAACAUAUUCAAAUCAUAAUUACUAUUUGUAAUAAAGCUUAUCGUCCUUCUUCUAUAAAGAAUACUAUCUGGAAUGUUUUGCUCUUUUGUGGUGCAUUCGCAGGUAGGGAACCUCAGCCUAUGUCAAACCAAGUGAGCGAGAAGUUGAUGAUAACUCAUAAACCAGAAAUGCUAAUGAAAAUUACUAAACCCAUGUGCAAAGCUCUGUGAGGUAAGGUUAUGGUAGGUAAUUCUGCUCUGCAAUCUUUACAAGUUUACAUGCGUAGAGGUGCCUUAUUGGAAUCCUUGUGUUUCAAAGAAAGAUUGGUAAACUUGGUAUCUAUCUCUCUGCUCAUACUAUUCCUUCCUUGCUUAAAUCCUUGUUGUAUUUGAUGUUGCUGUUGUUGCAUGAUAAAUGAUCUAAUACGAUCAAUCUCCCUCUCCAGCAUCUCCUGGUGGUCUGCGAAUGACCCCAGGAAGAAAAAUUGAGCACAAGGGUAAAAAAAACGAAGAAUAUUAAGGGAGAAGUUUUAUAUACAUUGCUUGAUAAGAUGUUCUUGGACAAGACCAUCCAAUCUUUGUCUUAGAGAAUCAUUCUCCAAGUUGAGAAUGAAAUUCUGCUGAUCAGUAAAUUGGAUUUCUGCAGAAACCUCACAUCCUUGAGACUGCAAUGCAUGAAUACGACGCUCCAGUUCUGCAAUAUACUGCAUUUUACGUACACGAGAUCUCUGUGCAAAUUGCCUGCAAAACAGAAUAUUAAGGUAUGCAGAUGUAAUUAUCUUACCUCUUCAAAUUUAAUAUAAUACAAUCACCUACUGCUUGGCUCGUUUUGGGUCGGAAUCGGAUUGAUUCUUCAUACUGUCCUCGAUCCAGUGAUCAUUUCUCACCUCUUGAUUCUGUGUUUUGUUGAUAUCCCCAGAAGAAGAAGAAGAAGAAGACCCAUGUCUCAACAUAUUAGGCACCAUCGGUCUUCCUCCUCCAGACAUCUGGUGAUGAUAAGUGGCGCCCCUGCCGGUGAAUGGGUGAGGACGAGGUAUUACAUUGCGUUGUUGUGAAACAAUAUUAAUGUUAUCCCUGCGAAUAUCAUCAUUGCCGUAGGUGUAAGACUCGCUGGAAGAACGGUUAUGGUACAGCGUUCCUUUCUUCGCCGGCGGCGUAUCGGGGUCGUUGAGCAAGUCAUCAAGCCAAAAAGGUUGUUCGUCAAUGAGAACACUUUCGGAAGAUGCACGGUGGUGGAGUCUGUGAUGUUGGUCGAUUACCGGAUAAUUGCCUAUUCUUUGGUCAUGCACAGGUCUUCCUCCGAUGACGAUAGGUUGACUUUUCGGUGGAAGAACAAAAAAUGGGUCUUUACCAUUUCUUCCUCUACUCAUCUUUUAAUUAACCUGAUUAAACGUUGGUAGGUCGGUGAUAUACGAUAUCAAACUACCCACCUACCGACGAGGGAGGGGAGGAGAUUGAUCCGGCGAUGCCACAACUGUAGGAAAGAUAGGAGAGAGAGAUAAAGAUCGAUAAAGAGGAUAAAAUGGAGACGUGGGCGGCGGUUUGGGAUGGCCGUUAUAUGCUCUUUGUAUUUUCUCGGUUGGUUUUGUAUUUUGCUAAAGUGUUUUGUUUAGAGUAGUUGAGGACCGUUGGAUUAGCAAACAGAUUUGGCGUUUACCGUGUGGUUUGUUUGGAUGUAUGGAAUCCAGGUUGCGUGAAACAAAAGACAACAAGCAAACAAAACACACCAACGACAGGUGAUGAAUACAUGACUGAAGAAGAACUAAAAAGAGAGUCAACCGAUCAGAAAGACGUGGUUUUAUUUGAUCAAUGAGUUAACGGUUAAUUGAAAUCCACCUGAAUUACAUAAAACCCCAAGAUUUUGUUCUGUCAUAUGAACAUGUUCUGUCAUAUAGAUUUUUAAGAGUUUUUUUAACCUAUGUAAUAAUGUAAAACUUAUUUAGGAGUCAUUUCCAGAAUCGACGUACCUCAUGGUCGGACGGUCCCGACCGUGAGACAGUGUCGUCCACAUGGACGACCAUCUGCAGUUCCGACCAUGGUACGGUGUCCGUUCGUGCGGACGUAACUUACCUGAUAUUUUGUGAACUUAUUUAAACCAAUUCCUACCAUUAAGGGGUAAUAUAGCCAGAAAUACCUGGAUCACCCCAACGCGACCUCGCUCCAUGCACCUUGAGAUUGAUUAUUCUCACCUUGAUUCGACUCCUUUGGAUCUUCUUGAAUCGACCACUUCUGAAAGAGAUAUCUAGAUCCUUCAUGAGUAAUCUGUCCACCACGUCCACUGGUAGAGGGCUCCCUUUGGCCAAUCAAUUGUUCUUUUCCUGCCAUAUAAACUAGCAUAGACUUGGAAAAGUGUGCUAAUAUAGUCCUCAUGAGGCGCCACCUUUAGUCAUUAGGUUGAUUCAUUCAAUCACAUCCCCCAUACACAAGUCUCCACCAUUAGGAAUCAGACAAUUUGGCAAUUAAUUCUCUUUUAUUUUCUAGGUAAACAUCAUCAUAAGUUUCUAACCCUAAUUUCUUCGAUAACUAUUGAUUGCGAUUCCAAUGGCGCCAACAUCGACUCUAGAUAGUACAACAUUUGCUGCAGGAUCAAUCUUAAUUUCCAACUGUAUCGAGCACUCAACUAGUUUGCAACAACAUUGACCAACUUGGGCCAAGUCUUGAUUUCAAGUAUACAUUCCUUUUGCUUGAGUCCAAGGUGACUAUAGUCGAACCUUAGAACCUAUAGGUGACCUUGGUCGAUCCAAGAUUUUGCUACAUUCCCUUGAUCGAUUAGGAAUUUGGUUGAUUCCCCCUUAAGGUGGUUCUGACUUCCAGAAAGUCUCCUUUCAGUCUAUAAAUGCAGGCGGGAUAUUCGAAUUAGGUUUGGCUCAAAUCUCAAUGUAUGUUUUUUAUGUGAUCUUCCUUGAGCUUAUGGGGCCACAUGCUUUCUCACGUGUACAUGAGUCCUGAGGUCCUAUUUUUUGGAUCAUACUCCUGGUAUGGUACGAAAGGGUCGCCAAUAUUUAAAAUGGAGAAAUAUAGUGUGUAUGAUUUCUCUCUUACACGAUGACCUUAGAAUCGUUUAAAAAGAAAUUAACUACGAACCUGACAACUAUGAAGGAUUAACUAAUACUGAAUAAUUGUUACUAGUUAGACUAUAAACAGAUUGUAACCUGUCAAUUCAUAAAGUCAGUUGAUUGCAUUUCUUUUCAAGUGAUUGUCAGUCCAUGAGGAGAAAGUUCCAUGUUUUGUGUAGGCAGAAAACGUGUGAUGUUCAACUGAUUAUAACAGUUUAUAAACGAAUGUACAUUUUUGUUAAAAUUUUGGCAUUUUACCUCCGAACUUUGACUGCUUUUGGACUGCAUUAAUAUAAGGUUUCUAAUGUUAUGAGAAUCACUUUUGAUUCUUUAAGUUUUUCGCUGGUUGCGAUUUAACACAUGUUUCAAUAUCGACACAUUUGCUAUGACCUCUUCCAGCGUUAAACCUCCUUUUCUUAUUGUCUGUAACUGUGACUGCAAAUAUCACUGCCUUGUUUAUGUUCCUAAGGCAUACAACUUUAUUAGACACGACCACACACCUGCCGAAAUCCUAGUUAAGAUCCAGCUAGAGAUCAAAGAAUCUUGUUUGAGAGUCACCGACUGUGAACAGUUGUAUACAAAUUGUAAUUACUUAAUUAACAUAGAAAUGGUAACUACUAUAGCUAACAAAAUUUAAUCUAGAGAUCGAGGUUCAUAGUUAAAAAUAAGUAGUUAUAAGUUUAACUACUAACAAAUGUAUAUAAAUAACUAUACGUACUUCUAGAUACUAAUUGAAUCAAUUAGUGUACAUCAAAUUAGAUUGUCUUCGCCAGUGAUCGUCGAAAGGGUGAAAGAGAUGGCUGGAAGAAAUCCGACAGCUAAUCAGGAAAAUGUCCAGGUAUCGCUUCCUAUGACAUUCAACAUAAUCUCCUGAGCAAGACGAUCGAAUUACAUGUGUUGUUGGUGCACGAUCUGGAACACCUUAUUGAUGAUGGUCACGAACCUUUGACUAGGAAGAUUGGAGAUCGAACAGGAGAUUCCCAAUCCUCUCUGGAGCAAGUGGAAAAAAGAAAAUCACUUUUUGGCUGGAUGGAUUAGAGAAACAAUCUCGUCGGUAAUUUGUUCGAUUGUGAGAAAGUAGAUCUUUGUCCUUGUUGUUUGAAAAAAGUUGGAGGUUAUUUUAUCUUCGAAAUGCGAACAACACCCCGGCCGGCAAUAUCAAAGAUCAGCUCCCUUCGCUGAAGAAGACAAGUGACAUUUCAAUAAUGGAUUAUCAUGUGCAAGUGAAGGAAUUGACAAACUCGAUGGUCGUUGUUGGCACACCGGUGGGGGAAGAGGCGUUAACCGACUUUGUAAUUUAUUAAUUAUGUACUGAAUUUGAGAACUUGUUUAAUAACCUCCAUUUUCAGAGAGAUUCAAUAAGCUACGACAAGGUAUUUGGGAUCUCGAUUCAAGAAGAAUACUUGAUGAAAAAGAAAUUGAAGCAAAAGCACUUAUCUAAUUGCUGCAAGGAGAAAGAAAAUCUUCUCUGGAAAAAACGUCGUCCUCGUGAUGGCGACCGGUCACAUUCAGUCACUCUAGGGAUGUGGGACUAGUAAAAAAAUUUAUAUUUUAUAUAAUAAAAAAUAAUAUAAAAUUGGGGAUGUAGCGAGAGGCACGGGGUUCGAUCCCCCGCAUCUCCAUUUUUUACAAAUAAUAAAUAUUAUGAAUAUUUGUAAAUUUCACCUGAAUUAUCUCCCAAAAACAACCUGAAACAGUAUUAUUUUUUUUAAAAGCAAGAAACAGCAUUACCCUUAAUUGAUUUAUAAAUAAAUAAGUUAUUGCAAAAGAGUUUUUUCAUCACCCUAACUCUUAAAUCUGCAACAACCAUUUUCUGAUUUUCUCUAUCAAUGGCCUGCUGUCCUCUACCUUCUCUCUUCACCUCCGUCGUAUCAGUCAAAAUGCUGUUCGCCUUCCUAUUCCUGUUCGCGUCAGCUGCCGUCGUCAAUGGGCAAAAAUCAGAUUUGGAGUUCGAGAUGGGUCCGGAGAAGCAAACUCACAUGCACUUCUUCUUCCAUCAUAUCGUCUCAGGCCCAAAUCCAACAUCCAUAAAAAUCCCGACCACACUGUCAACUAACACCACAACAUCAAGCUUUGGAGGACUGCUCAUCAUCGACGACGCACUCACCGUAUCGUCAGACUCUACUUCCAAACCUGUCGGCCGGGCGGAAGGCUUGUGGGCGUCGGCUUCGAUGGAGGUUCCUGCAUCACUGACGACCAUCAACCUCCGCUUCACAGACGGUGAUUUCAAAGACAGUACUUUGGCCAUCUUCGGGAGAUCGUCGGUGGCGGAGAAGGAGUGGGAGCUUCCAGUAGUUGGCGGAACCGGAAAGCUCCGGUGGGCUCAAGGAUAUGCAUCGGCUAAGCUUGACAACUACGAUUCUGUUACAGGCAACUCUGUGGUGGAGUAUGACGUGCAUGUGACGCACGGAUCUAAUUCCCACAUAGCUAAUUCUGGAUCUGGGUCUAGUCCCGGUUCUAUUGGCCCAGCCAGUUCGGGUUCUGGUUCAACUCUGGUCAAAUUAGGCUUCCUAUGUGGGUUUGUUAUUAUGUUGUUGAUCUUCGGUUAGAUUUAUUUUAAUAUUUUAAUAUGAAGACAAGUUAGUGCCGUAGUGGUUUGUGUAGAUUGGACUAUUUGAAUAUUGGAGUUGGUUACCAAAUAAUACAGUUUCUUUUAUUUUAUUCGGUCCGGAUCGAAAACUGAUUGUUCCCAAAGACCGACCCGGUCCCCAGGUAUAAGUAAGGAAGUUUAAAGAAGACCGACGGGUAAACCCUAAACGAGAGAGAGAUGUGGUUUCUGUGCGUGUUUUAUCACAGAUUGCUAGAUUUCCGGCGACCGGAGGUGGAGUCUCUGGCAUCGCUCUUCGGAUCAAUUCAUAAGAAAUUGGAAUGGAAGCUUCCUAAAGAUCACCACAUUGACUCUCCUUUCCACUUUGUCUCUCUCCCUUCCGAACAGAUCGCCUAUAAUAUCGCCAAACGAAGUCUAUCUCUUCUUCUUCUUCCUCCUCAAGUCGCCCCUAAAUUCUAUUUCUCAAUUUCUAGUGGUCAAGUAUAUUUAUAACCAUUGAUGAUGUUGUGUUCAGGUAUACUUGUGAAAGGGAUUUUUGAGCUUUGGGGUGAGGCUACCAGUCAUGAUGAAUUGGAAGAAGUGAUCAAUGCGUUUCCAGAUGAGCGUAAGUCUCCUUAUCUGGAGUCCGAUACUACUUUCCGCAUCGUCAUUGAAAGCUUUGGCAAGGCGAUUAACUUUACCGACCAAAGUCAGAGGAUACAGAGACUCAGUUAUAUACCAUUCAAGGUUAUCUGCCUGUGUUUCUUUUAUUCUUUCAUUCAGUUACGGACCCAAAUUCAGUUUAUAUUAUUUUCCAUCUGAUAAAUUGGUCAUCUUCACAGGGCCGCGUUGAUUUGAAAAACCCAAAGCACAAGUUCUGGCUCUUGGAAACCGAUGAUUACGGGUCAAACAAUAAUGGUCUCCCUCCUGUUGCGAGAAAGAGGAUAUUUUUUGGGAGAGAGGUUGGAGUUUCGGAUAGGAGUAUUUUACCAACUUACCAAUUAAAAAGCCGCACCUAUCUUGGUCCCACUGCAAUGGAUGCUGAAAUGGCUUUUCUCAUGUCCAAUCAAGGUUUGGCACGCCCAGGGAGUAUUGUGUUUGAUCCAUUUGUCGGUACUGGAAGCAUUCUGAUCUCUGCUGCACAUUUCGGAGCAUUGACUAUGGUUUGUUGAGUUUAUAAAAAUCGAACGGAGUCCGACUACCAUAAUUUACUACUCUUUCAAAAUUGAAAAAUUAAGGUUUUUGUUUCAGGGUGCAGACAUUGAUAUCAGAGUUGUACGUGAUGGCCGGGGGCCUGAUUCUAACAUUUGGAGCAAUUUUAAACAGUAUGGUUUGCCACCGCCGAUCACAUUAUUGAGGUCAGAUAACAAUCUUCCUUCUUGGCGGUCGGAACUCAAUGAGGUAUGUGGUGUUGUGUUUUUCUCGUCUGCUUUUUGCCCAAAAAAAAAUAAUAAUAACAACAUCAAACGAUUCAAACUGCUCUUCUUUAAAACUUAAGGUAUUUGAUGCAAUAAUAUGCGAUCCUCCCUAUGGUGUGCGAGCUGGUGGUAGGAAAUCCGGCGGCCGGAAGAUACUGAAAGGCACAGUUGCACCGUACACUGUUCCGGAAGACAAAAAACACGAUCACAUUCCAUCAACCGCGUCCUACUGCCUGGUUGAAUGUAUGCACGAUCUUCUGGAUCUUGCAGCCAAGAUGUUGACUAUGGGUGGCCGGCUGGUGUUCUUCUAUCCGGUUGUCCGUGAAGAAGGGAUGAGCGAGCGAAUAAGCUUCCCCGAGCACCCUUGUUUUACUCGGACGGCUUGCUCUGAACAAAUACUAAGUUUUCGGUACAGCCGCCAUUUGGUGACUAUGGUGAAGAUCUCCCCCUACUCAGAUGAACUGGCUGUGGUUGCUAAAAUGAAGCACUUGGAAUUUAAAGAAAACCAUGUUAAGUGGAUGGAAGAUGGGAAUAUCCACUCUGCCGUGCUCAGCCCGACUGAUUCUGGUCCGGGGAACUCUCCAAGAAAGUCUUCUGAUAUUGAUCCCAAACCUAAAUAUCGGGGGAAAUAUGUGUAGACCUACACAAAUACUAAUGAGACUAUAGAGUAAUUUUUCUGUGGUAAUUAUGUUGUAAUCUAAGGGUCUAAAAAGUAUCCAUUUUGUUUAAUUUAAAAUCAUCUCACAUUAUAUGUAUUGAAUUUUGAAUAUUGAAUAUUGAUCGAACAAUCCAAUUUCAAACCGAUUCAUUCAUAUUCAACAAUUGUAUUUGUCAGUCUGUGUAAGACGUCGUAGAUCUCUUUUCUCUUGUUAUGAUGCCUGUCUUUUACCAAAAACUCAUGUACUUCGCCGCCUAUGAAGAUGGAACUGCAGCCGGGAAUUUUCUCAACCCCGACCUGUUUCAUCUUAUGACGGACAUCGGCCGCUUCCGGCCAUUCACCAAUCGAUGCCCGUGCGUUCGACAAAAGCACUCGGUACCCCGAAUUCAUAGGAUCAAAAUCCGUCAUCUUUCUGCUCACGUAAUGUAUGAUCUCACUAUACAGGCCAUUGUCAUGAUUCUUACAAGAACUCAACAAGGUUAGCCACGUUAGAGACUCUGGCUGCACCGGCAUAGAUUCGAUGAACUGGAUCGCCUCUUCCACCUUCCCCGCCCGGCCCAGGAGAUCCACAAUGCACCCGUGAUGUUUGAUGUUGGGUACUAUGCUGAAUUUGUCGAUCAUUAUUUUGUAAAUACUGCAACCUUCCUUGACGAGACCGCCGUGUGUGCAGGCAGUGAGUAUGGCGAUGAAGACGGCUGCGUCUGGCUUGAUCCCUCCAUUCGUGCACAUCUCGUCGAAAACUCCGAGAGCUUCCUUGCAUUUUCCAUUGAGACCAAGACCGGAGAUGAGUGAUGUCCAUGUGAUCACACAUCGGUCCGGCAUUUGCCGAAAUAUAGAUUCUGCAGUCUUGAUAUCUCCACAUUUUGCAAACAUGUCAAUCAAAGCGUUUCCUAAGUUUAUUCCAACGGUUUUUAUAAAUUUGGGAUUUUUCUGUAAGUACGAGUAAAUCCACUUUCCAUGCUCCAGAUCACCUAACUGGGUGCAUGCCGAGACGACGGCGAUCAUCGUAGCUCUAUCCGGUUGACUGCGCCCAUCGAUUAACAUUCGGUGGAAAGUUUGCAACGCAACGGAAAACUGUGCGUUGGAAUUAUAUCCCGAUAUCAUAGCGUUCCAUGUUACCGUUGUUUUCACCGGCAUCAUCCCAAACACCUUCCUCAUCGAUUCCAUAUCUCCGACACUUGCGUAGCCGGAGAUCAUCGCCGUGCAAGAAAUUACAUUUUUGCAUCCCAUCUUCUCAAAAAUCUCUUUGGCGGCAAUCAUGUCGCCAGUACCAGAGUAGCCAGUGAUCAUGGUGUUCCACGUCAACUCAUUCCUCUCCACUUCUGGCAUCCUAUCAAACACAGCUUUCGCGGUGGUCAUCUCCUCCAUCUUCGCAAGACCUCUAAUCAUAGAAUUCCAAGACACUGUGUUUCUGUCCGGCAUUUUUUCGAACAGAAACAAACCCAGUUCUAACUCUCCAUGAGCCAUGCAAGCGCUGAUCAUGGAGUUCCAUGAACAGACAUCUCUUUCCAUCAUUCCAUCAAACACCUUCUUUGCUAUCUCAAAAGCUCCAAUCUUCGAGUAAAAAUCCAUAGUUACGUUCCCGAUAAAUACAUUCCGUCCGUGCCCACAUCGCAAAAUCUGUCCAUGAACCAUCUUCCCUCUCAUCAACUCUCCCAGAACCUCACAAGACCGGAGCAAAAAUGUCAAUGUAUAACUGUUGGGCCAGAGCCCGGCAACCCACAGCUGGUUGUACACAUAAAAAGCGUAACCCGGCCGGUUCAUAGCAUUGAGAUGUUUGAUGAAAAAGUUGUGGGUGAUCACAUCCGGCGCCGGGCAUUGCCGGAAGAUCUCGAGGGAAUAUUCAACAGAAGAGGAAACAGAUAUAAGGCUGGAGAGAAGAAGAUUACUGUGAGAGAGAUGAUUGACGAUGAUCUGGACAUGGGUUUGCUUCAUCUGAUUGAGGCUCAUACCACAACUGUAGUUUUGCAGUAAUCGGAGGAUUUUUCUUUUCAUCGGAAGUUUAUUUUACUAUUAAAAAUACUCUAUUUAUUUCGGCGAGGCGACUCACUCAGUAUGAUCUUUAAUAUUUAUUAGUUAUUAAAGGAAGAACACGUACGACGGAUCUCUCCAUCUCUACCGUCCGUUAUAACUCCGAUUCGCCCCAUCCGUACGAUUGCAUCGACAAAAUCCUUCAUAAAAGAAUCCUUUCCGGUAGCUAUGUACCCGUCGAUGACUGAUUUUGUCGCCCGAUCCUCAUACAUUGCCGCAUCGGAUCUUAUGACAGUGAACCCAUCUCUUACAUUAGUUAAGAAGUGGUCGUCGAAUUCCAUCUCGCUUCCUUCAUCCAACGGAAAUCUGACGAAAUUAUCCCCACCUUCGAUGCAUUUAGACUCCAGUACCGGAACGAAUUCAGGGUUUAUCGCAGAGUCGGGUCUUCCUUCUCCGUACAGACGCUCGGUGAUGAAGAAACACGCCGAUGUUCCGAUGGUGUGAGCGGCUAUAAAAAAAAAGAAAAAAUACGUAUAAUUUAGAAUAAUACCAUUAUAAAAGAUAAUAAUAUUACAGAUUUAUUCUAAAAACGGUUGAAAAUCAUAAUUAUACCAUUGAGAACGACCAUGUCUUUCAGAGAGAGACCUCUGAGGGAGAAUUUUUUAGUUAGAAGAUCAACAGAGUCGUCCGGCUCGACCAUGUCGUCAGCAUCUUCCACGUUGGAGACCAACCCAUCUUUUCUUCCCGUUUCGACGCUGUAAUCGGGACCUCCGGAUAGGACGAUGGAAUCCCGAGCCAUGAGAGCGACGAUAUCGGAGCAAGACACAACCUCAGGACACUGUCUUUCCAACUCAUCUUUUGCUCUGUCCACAACAUCGAAUCCUUCCAGUCCAGCAUGUCCUCGUGCAUCUCUCUCCACCGUGCCGUCGGAAUGAUCGAUCAGUACAGACCCAUCGCAACCAUCGAUGAAGCAGUCAUGGAAGUGGAGACGGAGGAGUCUUCCGGCAGUUGCUGGUUGAGAAGAGAUUGCAUUUUCAACGACUUCUCUGACGAUGGACUCAGCGUUUGGACAUGUGGAGUCGUAGUACCCCUGCCGAAGCCCAUUGGAGAGAUGAGAGUGAUGAUCAAUUGAGAGAACAAAGAUGAUAAAAGAUGUGACAAGGAGAGGAGGAGAUGACGAUAUUGACAUGGAAGAGAUGACGGGGAGAAAGAACAAACAGGUGAUGAAAUUGAUAACAAGUGAAAUGAAUUAAUGAAAGAAAUGUCGAUGUAUUUAAACGGAAAAAACUACCAACUACAUAUGUUCUUUUGCAGUUUGUAUCUAAAGCGAACAGUAAGUGAACUACCCACUUACUUGGUUCGACUCGAUGUCAGAUUGUUUGUUAAAAUGUCAUUAUAGUUAGAACAGAUAAGGAAAUGCUAUGAAGAUGUCAAGUCGUUUGGAACUCCAAAUUAACUAAGUUUUCAUUAAUUUCAAAACCAAGAAAAUAAAUGCACUCAAUGAUAAAACAAAAUAUUCGACGGUUGGCAAAAAAAGAUUUAAUUCAAAUUACAACAAUAUUCGAAACUCAUCAAAGGAAAAGCAUAAUUGUAACGUAACACUAAAAAAACAAAAGUCUGAAUCCAAACAUACUCAAUACUUCAUUUUUGGAAGCAAGCUUAUUAUCCUUAAUCGAACAGGCUGAAUCCAAGAUCAUCAUCAGACUCGUCUUCAGGUUCGGGAGCCUUUUCCUCGACAGCAGCUGGGACAGAAGAUGAAGCUGCAGCUUCUGAGGGAACUGCAGCCACAGCAAACUUGCUGGGAUCCUUGAGAUACUCCUUGACCUUCUCAGCUUGAGGAAAGGUGUAUUCAGUGGCAAGGGCAAUGGAAAGUACAUUUUUGUAGCCAUUGAGAAACAUGUGAGGAGCAGCUGCCAAUGUCGGGUAUGAGAUUGCCAGAGACAAGGAAGUCACCAUAGCAACACCGGCUGCAAAUUUUUCUAUAAGGUCAUCAUUGGUGAGGGACAGAACCUCAGGGCUGAAUACAGAUCCACUGUCGUAAACAGAUUGGACAACAAGACCAUACGAGAAUGGUCUGAUUCCCAGUUUAGCAAGAAGAGCUGCCUCAGAAGAUCCAACCUUUUCACCUGUCUUGAUAAGUUCCACAGGGGUGAUGAUCUCAACAGUACCCUUGUUAAUCUUUGUGGGAAUGUUUAGGACCUAUCAGUAGUCAGUAGAAUAAAAAGCGGACUGUAGUUUAGAUCAUGUCACCAACUAUGAAUUAUCAAACAAAGUAAACAUGAAUGAACCAUGUACCUGGAAAAAGGAAGUCUGGGAAGGAUCCAGACCAGUGUUGCCAGGAGGAACAACCACAUCAAUGGGAGCGACAAGACCAACACGAGCAGGCGCUCCAACCUAUCAACAAUUAAAUUUUAUAAAAUGGAUCAGAAUUGAGAAUAAAAGCAUGAAGGAAGAAACUAGCAACAUAGAUUCUCAAGUGUGGCAAAGGAAACACACUUAAGCGUCACUGCAAAUAUUGAGAAAGAGGCCAUUAUUUUAAAACACCCAUGUUCAUGUAAAAUUCAUAGAAUAAAGAAGCUUGAGUGGUUGACAAAUUUUAACAUUUAUCCCCAAUUCAUAUAGAAAAAAGAACAUAUUAAGAAUAUAAAUACGAUUGAAAAAAAAUCUCCGACAUCCAAAGAAGAGACAAAGCAGUAUAGAUUCAAAGGGAUUCUAAAGAAGGGAUUGGGGAUGUUGACAGACAGAUAAUUAUUUGAAAUUUUUAUUGAGAAUAUAAAGACCAUAUUCAAAAUGGACAACUUAUAUGAAGACAGAAUUAUAGAACCAGCAAGCAACACAAAUGAAAAGGGAUAAGGAAUACAAACCUUGUACUUUGCAACCUCAUCGCUAACUUCUUUGAGAUCUCCCUUGGUAAAUAUAAGUCCAACAUUACCCUAAAAUCAAUCAUACAAUGAAAAAAUCGGAGAAUUAGAAAAUAACCAUAGAAAAAGAUAAGAUAACGAGAGGGGGAAAUAUAUUGAUGAAACAUACGGCGAGGAGAGGUAAGAUGUUGAGGUACUCGUUAUUUCCGGUAUUCUCAGCGUGCACCUUGAUAGAUCUCUUCAUCAUUGUGUUCUUUCCCAUUAAUAUAAUGGAUUCACCACGAAGUCCUUUCCUGAUAUUCUGAAGAUGGUUGGAUCCAACAUUAUCAGCCGCAACGACAAGAACCUGACUGUAGUCAUUGAGAAGCUGACAGAGCUUCAAGUCAUAGGCAAUCUUCUUCUCCUGCUUUGAAACCUUGACCGCCAUUGGAUUUGGAGCAAAAUAAAUCAAAAAGAAUGAGGAAAACCUAAAUCUUUCUCUACAAAACUGUUAGAUAUCGUAAACGCAAGAGGACCAAGGCGAAGCAGAAGGCUUUGCCAAGGCAGACGUCUAGAAUUCGACGAUCUUUUUAACCUCGGAAGAACGUGACGGCAAGAGACGAGUAAGAGAAGAAAGAAACGAAAUGUAUGUAGAGAAACCCUAAAAUAUUAAAAAGAGACGUGUCUUUAUUUAUAGUAGACUAACGAGAUGAAGGGUAAUGAUGUAAUAUGUGAUUAGUCCAAAUAGAAUUACGAAAUUACGUUUAAGGCCGGCCAGGCCCAUAUAUCGUUCCUUAGAUAAUCUUAUUAAAUUGAGAGGAUCCAUUCAUCCAAGAUUCUAAUUUCCAAGUUAGUGUUAGUUAAUUUUUAAUCUUUAGUUGAUGAUAGAACAUUAAUAUUUUUGUGUAAAACCCUCUGUCUUAAAAAUCAACCACAUACAAGGGAAAAAAUCCCAGAAAUGGUGACAUUUGGUUGUGCUUGGCCUGUACUCUGUUAUUGGACAGAGAAUCAGUCAGCUUCACUUUAAAGGCUCAUCCUCAACUACUACCAAAACUAAAACAGAGAAACCUUCAAAAUUACUGAAAUAAGAAAUUGGCACAAUUAAUGGAAAAUGAAACAUUUUUUAUACAAACAGCAAAUAAGGAAGCAGCUACAAAACAGUAAGUCCUCUUAUACCAACUAAGACUAACAACUAAGACAAUUAUUAUAAGUUUUUCUCACCAAAUCUCAGCUGGUAGUUCACCUGCCUCGCUUUUCGAGAAUGCAUUGUUGGAUCUCCAAGAAUUAUUGCACAAUAAAUAAAUCGUGGGAGCCCAUAAAUUGUUUACCAUUUCCCUGUAAAACCUUCAGUACCACACAGAUAGAAAUUAAGAUACCUGCCCAUAAACAUGCAGCAGAAGCUAAGAAAAGCAAUUGUUAACCUCGUAAGACAGAUGAAGGCAAGAAUGCAGAUCCAAUUCAACCCAAAGGUAGUUUUACUCUUCCCAUGUCUUCUCUUUCUCAUCGUCGUCGUAAUCAGAUCCAAGUCUUCGGGUGAACAACCACAAGCAUAUCUAUCAAAAAUUUCACAGUUGGAGCAACAUGGCAGCCAAACAUGCAAUUAUAAGAUUCCAAAAUCUCUUGCACAAACCAUCAUCCAUUAUUCAAUUUCAAAGAACGUCCCACAGCAAACUUUCAGUGAGAUCUCAGUGACUGCACAGAUACUUGAAAAGAAAUCACCAUGCAACUUCUUGGUCUUCGGGCUUGGCCACGAUAGUCUGAUGUGGGCAUCACUGAACUACGGUGGACGAACUGUAUUCCUUGAGGAAGACAAGAUGUGGAUCGACACUAUCAAAAAACAACUUCCUGGAUUGGAAUCACAUCACGUUGCUUACAACACAAAGGUAAACCAAGCAGAUGAGCUCAUGGAGUCCGCGAGAGUGCAGGAAUGCAGAAUGCUGCAUGAGGUAGGAACUUCAAAAUGCCCUCUGUCAUUGAAGACUUUGCCUAAAUUUGUGCAUGAGACAGAGUGGGACUUGAUCAUGGUGGAUGCUCCAACUGGGUACUUUUCUGAAGCACCGGGGAGGAUGGGAGCCAUAUACACAGCUGGUAUGAUGGCUAGGAUGAGGAAGAAAGGGGAGACUCAUGUGUUUGUACACGAUGUGAAUAGAAUCGUCGAAGAUAAAUUUUCAAAUGCCUUUCUUUGUGAAGGGUACAUGAGUAAGCAGGAAGGGAGACUUAGACACUUCACAAUUCCCAGUCACAUGACCAAUGCAAACAUGCCCUUCUGCCCCUGAAUACAGAAUAGAAGGAAAGAUGGUCAGUAAUUCAAUAUCAGUAUGGAAUUUAAGUAUUUGUUUGGAGUAUGAUGUUGUAUUUCUUUCUUUCUUUUCAAUGUUUGGUUAGACUUUGGAAUUGUUACUACUUCCCUAUUUUCAAUCUUACUUUCUUAGUAACUAAACUAGCUAUAAACAUAUAAAUUUUUUCAAAUAACUAGCUUAUAAAGGACUUGAUCUGUUGAUCAUCAUCAUUAUCAAAUAUCGACCUUUAGGAAGUAGCACAAACCCAACAAUAUAGUAUAACACAAUCACAGUAAUAACAGGAACUCAACAGACUAAUAACAGUAAAAAAAAUUAGAUCUCGAUACCUUAAUUCUUCUCACUGGGGUUUUGCCCAAAUAGACCCUCAAAUUGACAGACUAACGGAAACUGAGAAAAAAAAAUCGAGGAUUACCCCAAAUUGAUCGGUACCUUAGCAAUAAGGAGGGAGGAGUCUGGUAUAUAUGAACACAAGAGCAAAACAAAGUACUCAAAGUAGCUUCCAUGGAGUAAUGCCGUGAUGGAGGGCGGAAGAAGAAACAGUCGACAGACAUUCCAUUAAGUCUUUGGAAAAAUUGCAUUUCUUAUACCAUCAAAUCUACUGGGUUAUAAAUAUUGGAAAAGUAAGAGGAUACAAAAUGCAAAAAAAGAGAAUUACAAAAUAGAAAGAAGGUGGCAGAGCAGAGCGCCACUUACUAUUUACCAGGCAGACUUUCAACACUAAAUCAAAAGCGUCAACCAUAUCCGAUCUUCCUCCCCCUUUCCACCGCGAAACCAGGUCAAAGAUCACACCUUUUCUAUCUCCUCUCCGUCGGAAAAACCCAGAAGAAGGCAAUGACGCAUGAGUAGUAAGAUAGAUAUCUGGAUGCUUUCUGGUUAAUCUAUAGUUGUAGGCUUGUAGCAGCGGUGGUAGUUCCUGAUUUUUUAUUUUCUUUCUUUGUUCUCAAUUUGGGUUGUAGUGAUUACCUCUUCAAGCUUCUUCUGAUCGGAGACUCCUCGGUGGGGAAGUCUUGUCUUCUUCUCAGAUUCGCUGUAAGCAGUUAUCCAAUUAUCAUUCCUCUCGUUUCCCAUUGCAUUUCUCUUCUUGAAGUGUGUGCGAAGUUGAUUUAACACCCAAUUCCGGGGUGGGGGUUAUUUGUUGAUCUUUUACAGGAUGAUUCAUACAUGGACAGUUACAUCAGUACAAUUGGUGUUGAUUUUGUGAGUUUCCCCUUUUAUGAAUGAAUUUUGUUUGAUUCAUUAUAAAUGGACGUUUGUUUGUGUAAAAUUUAGCUUUUGAAUUAUUUCUCUACAUGAUUCUGCAGAAAAUCAAGACGAUUGAUUUGGAUGCGAAGGUCGUCAAGCUCCAGAUUGUGAGAUUUUUAUUUUCUCUGUAUAUAUCGAUUUUCUUUCCAAUGAAAUGCCAGUUGUAUGAGAGCUAGAAUUAUGGAGAUUCAUGUUUAAUAAAGUUCCCAUCAACCAUCCAGCACCAUGCUGUGUGGUUUAGAACUAAUUCUUGGACCCCAGGAUGGAUGUAGUGAAACUGCCUUCGAGUCUUUAUUCUCUACCAACCAGGUUGGAUUGAUUUGCUAUUUUAUUUAAAGAUGGUGGGAUGUCUGGGUCAUUGAUCACCUUAGAUCUUGAUCAUUGUUGAUGUUCAACAUCAAUCAGAACUAGUUUGCCAAACCUAUGGCCAUGGAAUUACAAAUGCAGUAAACUAGCUUUAUCUUCAUUCUAGAAGUGAAGGCUGAGAACUAAGAAGUCACAUCCAUUGUCCAUUUUUCCAUAGCUAGUUGACAUCCAUGGGGGUUGUUGUUGUAAAAUCUCCAGGUUGGAUUGUUUAUUUGCAAAUGGGGAUUGUUGUUUGUCAUUUUUUGCAAAUGUUUUUCAUAACAUGGUAAGCUUAUGUGCUUACUGUCCCACAUUUGACAUUUUAUACACUUGAAAUAUGGAUUAACUUACGAUUUUUUAUCAGUGGGAUACUGCUGGGCAGGAGCGGUUCAGGACCAUAACUAGCAGUUACUACAGAGGAGCACAUGGAAUUAUUGUAAGAGAAGCAAUCCUCGGAUUUUCACAUUUUGUUUUUGUCUGCUUUGUAUAAUGGAGUAAUUCCAUCAAAACCUAUAUUGCGACGAUUUCAUUCGUGAUUUCCAGAUUGUAUACGAUGUCACUGAGAUGGAGACAUUCAUCAAUGUCAAACAAUGGUUGAAGGAGAUUAAUAAUUAUGCUAGUGAUACUGUACGCAAGGUACUAGUUGGAAACAAGUGUGAUAUGUUGGAAAACAGAGCUGUCAAAACUGAGGAGGCAAAGGUACAUCAUAUGAUUCAUAUCACAAAAAAUGUUUGCCCAAUGUCUGUAAUCUGUAUAAUUUGAUCAAUAUUUUUUGCAGGCCUUUGCUGAUUCACUUGGCAUUCCUUUUAUUGAAACAAGUGCUAAAGAUGCAAUUAAUGUGGAACAAGCCUUCUUAACCAUGUCUGCUGAAAUUAAGAAAAAGUAUGCAUAUGACUAAGACUAAAAUAUAUAUAGAAUAAUAGAAAUCAAUAUUGAUAUUGUCAGUUUUAUCUUUGUAGAAAACAGAAAAUAAUGUGUUAUUUGAUUGCAGUAUGAACAAGCAUCCCAGUGGCAAUUUCAAUUCUGCAAAUACAGUUAACAUGAAGGGCCAACCAAUCAGGCAGGACGAACCACCAUCCUCAAACUGCUGUUCAUGAUUAUUUAACAUCACUAGCAUCAAGAAGCGAUGCCUGACUAAAUGGCUAGACUCCUAGACCUGUAUUAGGGUUCGUUUAUAUGAUUUUCUGGAUGCUCUUAAAAUCUUGAUAGACCAACCGGUGCCGUUUUUUUAAAUAGUAAAUAUUUGAUGUAUGUGGAGAGAUUUAAACAUCCAAUAUUCCAACCUUCUUUACUACACCAAAUGGUUGCAGACUUUCUGUACCAUCCAAUACACAUGUCUCUGUGAGGAUGUAACACUACCAAUAACAUUUUUUUUUAUUGAAGAAAUAUUCCAGUUUGAUUACUUCCACUUGCAUCAUUAAUGUAUUUUAUUACCAAUUACAAUUUGAUUCAAAACGCAAAUUAUUCAUCAAAUCGAAAAUAACAAUUGUUAGUAUUAACUAUUGAGAUACAAAUAGCUAUUUAGAUUAUGAAAUUUGAAUAUAGAUUUCCACAUGAGGACUAAAGAGUUAGAUAGAUGGUUUAAAUGAUUUUUAAAACCAAUUUUUCUCAGAUCGUCUCUCUAAUAAGCUUGUGAUUUUUGUAAUCAUCAGGUUGUUUGUUCUUGAGGUUCUUUCUCAGCCAUCUCUUUUUUGUAAGCUUGUAAUCUUUCUUUAAACUUCUUACUUUCUUCAAAAUUAGCUUUUCUUUUGAUUGCUUUCUGUAUUGAUAAAGAAAAAUUUGAUCAUGUCGGGAAGGAAAAGUAGCAGAGAAUGAAAAAAAAGUAACAAUACUCACUUCUUGCCGGAAGCAAUGAUCAAGCUUCACCUUAAGCUCAGUGCAUUCCCCAAAAAAUUUUCGAAUGGGAUUCUCAGCAUGGCACUUUUCGAACUCUUCGAUAAUCUUUCAAAUUGAAAAAAUAACAACCAAUAAUUACUAAUGGAAUAAAUAUAAGUUUUCAAGUUUGGUAUUUUUUAGAAGAGGCAUGCCUAAAAAGAAGUUAAAGUAGGAAAAUAAAUUGCUUAGAAAGUAAAAAGUAAAAACCCUAAAACAAACAAUAUAAUGUUAAACCUUUACGGAAUGAAUCAAAUUCCAGGUCGAAAACCCAAUACAACGGAUGAUAAAAUGAAUAUGCAUACAUCAGCACACAUGGGAUGUCGGUGAAGGGUCAAAGGAGGAUGCAUUCUUUUGCAACUGCUUCACAAUGAGAGAUACUGAAUGAAGAAGCAAAAUGUAAUCAGAUGCAAGUAAAUAUUUAGCAACAGAAACAAAAAGGUUUGGAUGUUUUAUGUGAUUCUUGUACUAAAAAGCUAAUAACUUAGAUAUUGAUUAAAGUUUAUAUUUGAUACAAUCAUAUAAGGAAGAUUUUUGGAAACUUGCAUAACAAUUUUAUAGAACAUUCAACAUUUUCAGCAAAAGAAGUACUUUAAUCGAAGAACAAAGAAUCUAAACCUAAUUAACUAAUUGCCUUGAAUUCAACCCAAUUCCAAAGGUGCAGAUUUCAGAAAAAUUCAAAGCGUUUUUAACCCAUUGAUAAUUUGCUAUUAUUUAAUCAAGAAAUACUCCAUUGAAUGAAAUAUACGUUUUUUAACCACUUACAUUUUAUUUCAACAAGAGAUCCAGUAAAUCCAGAGGUUUGGAGUUCUACCAAAAAAGUGUAGAUUACAUAGUUUUUAUCGAAUUCUCCUUCCUUUAUUUUACAAACAAAUAUUGUAUGAAAUAAAACAUACCCUAAAUUCAAAGUUUCGCAAGUUCUCCCUCGCUAAAAAAAUUAUUUUUCUUCUUCUGCAAAUUGAGAUAUGGAUGUAGCAAAUCAUAAUAAAGUUUGUUUCUCCUCCAUCUCAAAGAAUAAAGAAAUAAAACUUCAAAUUUGGGCGAAAUACUAAAUAGAUAGAAAUACAAUCUAAAUCAAUCAGAUUAAAGUUUCACACGAUAAUUGAAAGUUUACAAAAAAAAUCUCACCACAAAAAUUUGUUCUUUUUUGUUUGUAAAAGAGCGAUUCAGAGAAAACGGAUGAGUACGACGGAAGACAGAUCGUCAAUGGCAAGAGAGCCAGUGGACAGGUGAGAGCGAUUGGGGUUUUUAUAGUGGACGAACCCUUACCGAAUGGAUUUAAAAGGCCCGUACAUGAGAUCCGAGACUGUACAGAUUUGGCCUGAUUUCUAAUCAUAUCUGGAUUGAUUUCUAAUUAGACUUCAAUAUCGGAUGUUUUGGAAAGGAUAUUUUGUUAUAAAAUUAUUUCAGAGGAUACAUAAUAUAUUUUUCUCCGUUUAUUCAUGUAAUAUAUUUCUCCAAGGGUUUCUCAUCUUCCCCAAAUCCUUAUCUUCUUCGAUCGUCUUUAGAAUUCGGCCGCCUGAGAGAGUUUCCAGAUCUGAGAGAUCGGGUUCAAGCUUGUGCAUUGUCAACAAACUUCCAUGGCUCUGGUAAUUUAGAAACUUUAUUUUGAUCUUGGAUGGAUCGAUCCCCUCCUGCAUUUCGUCAUAUAGAGCGAUCUCUGCGGUUUUUUCUUUUUUUCGUAGUGAUCGGAAGUUAUAUGAGUUUUUUUCAACGAUUUUUCUUCUUCCUCCUUCUGGUCCUUUUCAAUGGAAUAUAUAUUGUAUGUAACUAUGUAUUGGAAAACAUGAUGAACAAGUAAAUACAGUGUUUUGGUUUUAUUUAGUAUUUUCUUUAUUGAUUACAUUCUUUCACGUUCUUCUACCAUAUGCACGGGUGAUCGAAUCAGAGGAACACGAUUUUGGUUAUUUCAUCGCGUGUAUUAUACGAUAGGAAAUUUAGAGAAACUAGUAUUUUAUACUUUUACUUAUAAUAUUUUAGGUUUAUGAUACGAUUUUGAUUCGUUUUUUUGCAUAUUCGUUCAUUGUUUUAUCAUUAUAUGUUUGCACAUUGAUUUCCGCUACUUGAUUUUAGUCGUAGAAAUAUUUUUAAUAGUCAAGGCUUAAUAGGCAAUAAAGUUCUUAGAAAUUUUCAUGUAUUUUUUAGAAAUUUAUACACUUAUAUGUAUAAAUGUUCUAGCUAGUAUAUCUCGAUUUAAAUACUAUAAAACCGUUUGGACAUUUGGACUAGUGGAGGUCAUUAACUAAAAGGACACACACCAUGGUGGUCAACGGAGGUGGCAUGGAGUUGAUCAGAAAGAGCGUCAAGAGACGAUAUGAAGACUCGAAAUCACUUGAGAGCUUUUAGGUUUUUUUUACCCUACUGAUUUCAUCCAUAAGUAUCAAGCACAUGGGUAAUUAGGCAGAGUUAAACCAGAUCUGUCUAUGAAUCUACCAGAGUAUUGCUUCAUAUCCUUACUGCAAUGCUAAGGAAAACAAUACCAAAUUCUUUUCAAACCCACAGUCAAACCUUGACUAAGGGUUCAAAUCUCAAUAAUUAUAUAAUUAUAGUUUAGAGGUCAAGAAUAUAUAGCUUGAAUUGGUAUUUUUCAUUUUAUAUAUUAGUUUAGCUUUAUAACAGCGUUAUUUUCUUCUUAAUGAUAUCAAAAAUAGAUCUUCUCUUUAUCAAAAAAAAAUCCUCAUCCAAGAAAUGAAAAAACAUUUUAUUUUAUUUUGCCAGGUACUCCAUACUUCUCCUGCAAACAAAAAUGCAUAUAAGGUGCUUGUUGCUGCUGAGUACAGUGGUGUCAAAGUUGAUUUGGUAGACAAUGUGCAAUUUGGAGUGACCAAUGUGACUGCUGAGUUUCUUAAGAUGAAUCCAAUUGGGAAGGUACAUUUUUUAUUUAUUUUUGCCAUAACAUUCCCAGGAUCUCAUUACAAAGUAGAUAUAUCAUUGAAAUUUAUUUUUACCGAAUAUACUAUUGUUAAUUUGUUAUGUAGGUUCCUGUACUACAGACUCCUGAUGGACCUAUUUUUGAAAGCAAUGCCAUUGCUCGCUAUGGUAAGUACCUCACAUAUAAAAUUAAUUUCUAAAUUUUCAUUAUGAACACCUAGAUAAGUUCCUCUGGUUUUCUACAGUUACGUUGCAAAAGUCUGACAAUCCUCUAAACGGUUCAUCCUUGAUCGAUCAAGUAAAUCAUUUAAUUCAAAUCCAUCUAAUUAUCCGACGCCUUAUAUGCGAAUUGUUUCUCUGUGAUGCAUUAUUAACAAUGUCAAACUACUUGUUCGCAGGCUAGAGUAGCUCAGUGGAUGGACUUCUCAAUGUCGGAGAUCGAUCGUUGUAUUGGACUUUGGCUUUAUCCCAGACUUGGAUUUUCUCCUUACCUUCCUCCAGUUAGUUGAUCUCUUGUUUUUUUUUCUUUCUAAAAUCUUAAAGUGAGGUUUUAUUUUAUUAAUUUAUUAUAUUCUAUUUAUAUUUUUACAGGCUGAGGAGUUCGCCAUCACUUCUCUGAAAAGAUCUUUGGAGGCACUGAAUAAGCACCUUUCGACAAAUACUUAUCUAGUUGGACAUUCUGUGACAUUGGCUGAUAUCGUGAUGGUUUGCAACCUUUAUUAUGGAUUUAAGACUGUCAUGACGAAGAACUUUACAUCACAAUUUCCUCAUGUCGAGAGGUACUUAUGGACAUUGGUGAAUCAGCCGAAUUUCAAGAAGGUCAUCGGUGAAGUGAAGCAAGUCGAGUCAGUUCCACCUAGUCAGUCAAAGAAGUCAGCUCCUAACCCAAAAGCCAAAAAGUCACCUGAAAAAGAAACACCGAAAGCUAAAGAAGUGGCAGUGGUGGAAGAAGCACCAAAGCCUAAAGCCAAGAAUCCUCUGGACUUACUCCCCCCAAGUAAGAUGAUCUUGGAUGAUUGGAAGAGGUUGUAUUCAAAUACAAAAACCAAUUUCCAUGACAUUGCUAUCAAAGGUACCAUUUUCUCGAACCCAUCCUCUUCGUAAUUAAAUCUCCAAUUUUUUGUAAGAUUUGAGUCACCUAAUCCUUGGUCUGAUAAACCUGUUUAUGGCGGCACAGGUUUUUGGGACAUGUAUGAUCCUGAGGGUUACUCACUCUGGUUCUGCCAUGAUCAAGUUCAACGAAGAAAACACAGUUUCCUUUGUCACCAUGAACAAAGUGGGUGGAUUUUUGCAGCGUAUGGACUUAGUUCGCAAGUACGCUUUUGCAAAGAUGCUGAUCAUUGGAUCCUCACCUCCCUUCAAGGUGAAGGGUCUCUGGCUGUUCCGUGGUCUUGAGAUUCCGCAGUUUGUUCUUGAUGAAUGCUAUGACAUGGAUCUGUAUGAGUGGACCAAAGUAGACGUCGCUGAUGAAUCCCAGAAAAACCGUGUUAAUGCUAUGAUUGAGGAUCUGGAACCCUUUGAGGGUGAAGAUCUCUUGGACGCCAAGUGCUUCAAGUGAUUUCAUCUUUUUAUUUAUUUAUUUAUUGUUUACGAACAGUUUUAUUAUAAUCUUUUUGCUACAGAAGACGGAAAUGUUUAGUUAUUGUAAUUUAAAUAUUGAAUGAAUAUUUAUUUCUACUGUUGUAUGCAUUAAAUCAUGAAUCAAUUUUGUUAACCUAAAUAAUGUAUUUCUUUUUCACCAAUGGAUUUUGAAUACUGGUAAUUACCAUAUUGAUUUUGCCUCUAGAUUCCUGGACUUCAUAAGAUUUUUAAGAUGAUUUUCAUCGCAUCCACUUACUCUUUUUAACAAAACAGAGAUUUCGAACAAAGAUAGGAAAAUUUCAAUAAAAUGACCACCACAUUCAACUGUAGCUAGAAAUGCUUCACCUUCAUAAAUCUGAAAUUCAGAUACACAGACCAUAAAACAAAACAGCAUUUCAAAUUAAACCAAGGAUGAAGUAGACAUUUUCGAAUUAACACUAAACCAAAGAUGUGCUAAAACAAGCAGCAAUAGCAGUAGCAGCAGCAAUUGCUUCAGCAUUUUCAAAUUUAUUUUAGCUUCUUCUUCUCAAGCCUCUGCCGUGCUCUUUGGAAUUCAUCUUCAGUAGGUUCACAUGAUGCUUCACCAACAGAAUUGCAAAUUAUUUUAUCAAACAUGGUCUCAAACUUCUCUUUCCGCUGAUUAUGACGCUGGGAAAUAACAGCAACCAAAUCAGUUUCGACCUUUUUCUUUGAUCUGCUCUUUUUACGUGCAAGAGGGUUGAGAGGUGGUUUGGAUUUAGCUACCACAUUUGCCCACUUUUUGUAUGCUUUGAAUCCCUUGAGUUCACCUUAAAAAUAAUUAGAACAUGAGAUUGCAAGUACGUGGAGAGAUUAUAUUCAGAAUUGUUUUGUAUAAUGAUUCAAACCUUCAGCUAUUGCAUUGUUAAUGAUGUCCAUGAAGCGAUGUGAAUCCAACUUUGGGUCAGAGCAAAUCAUUGUGCAAAAGAGCCUAGACAGCAAAAGAAUUUAGGUAAAGAAAUGAAAAACCUUAAAGUGAACAUUAAUGUUUUUUUACCUAUCCAUGUUGCCCUUGAAUUCUAUGUACAAAUCUUUUAAAUCUUUUUCCUCAGAAUCUGAUCCUCUAUAGUUUGCUUCAAAAUCUUCAAUAUCAGCCGUUGUAACCUGCAUCAGAUCCGAAAAUAAUAUCCACCUUAUUUUAUAAAAAUAAAAUGAAAAAGAAUGUGUAGAUGAGGUGUUUAUGAAGAAAAAAAUGAGUAGAUACCGUUUUGUAAAUUGAUCUGAAAAACUCUUUUAGGUUAUUAAAAGAUUCACCAGAAAGAUCCUGAUCAUAACUUAGAGGAUAUAAGAGUAAAGUAUAUCAUCGUUAAAGCACAAGACAUAUGAAAAGAUGAUAGAAUAUGUACGGAAUCAUCCACACAUCCAGUUUGAUCAUAAAGAGCCCUUUUUUCCUCAUCGCCAAGUAUGGCUAUCACUUUCUGCAGGCGCUGAAAAUUUUCUUUGGCUUCCUAAAACAUGCAUAAUUCAAGGAUAUGAAAUAUUGCUACCGUCAGAAGUGAAACAAAUCAGAAUAUUAAAUUGCACCUCGUCACCAGGAUUUUUAUCUGGAUGAAGACGCAAAGCUAACUUGUGAUAUGCUUUCUUUAUUUCUUGUCGAGUUGCUGUAUUCUCUACUCCAAGAAUCUGCAUAGAGCAAAAACUGCUUGUUUGAAAAAUCACAUAAAAGAUAAUGUUGUGCUUACUGAAGUUCUAAAUCACCAAAAGAGAUGGAUAAAAAGGUUUACGAAAAACAUGGCAGAAAAAUAAACACUAUAGGACCGACUAUAAGGUGUCCUAGUAGAGGGUCGGUUUUUUGAGAGAAAGAAGAGAGAGUAUAGUUUGUUUUGGUCAUCCCGUCAUCACUAGAUAAUGAGAAUAUAUUGGAAUCUAGGAUCCCAGAUCCUAUAUACAAAACUAUAAUAAAUAGUUUGAUUCCCAAGUUUUAGGUCUCAACAGCCUUAUAAUAAUGUUCUCAUUAGUUCAAAGGUUUCGAUUUUGCAAAUAUAACGAUAUGUCAGAUUUCCAAGAAAUAAAAUCUAGAGAUCAAAACCCCAAAAAUGGCACUGUAGCAACUAUCAAUUUAGAAAUACAAAAAAGCAAGCACUGUAGAAACAACAAUCCAUCGAGAAAGCACACACACAAAAAUUUCAAUUAAAAAACAGAUAACUGAAUCCAAUCAAACACUACACCAAAUUCAAGUUAAAGCAAGAAUAAUCAAAUCAAAACAUAACAAAAAAUAUAUACAAACAGAUAUAAUUCAAAUAAUCGAUGUAGAACACAACCAUAAAGAAUCAAAUUUAAAAAAAUCCAGAAACACAACAAGAAAAAAGGUAAUCGAUGUAGGAUGCGACCAUAAAGAAUCAGUCAUGGAUACACUUACCUCAUACAAACUCUUCUCUCCGUUCUGCGAACCAAUAUCGGUCUCUGUUUUGAUUCCAUCCUCCUCGAAAACCCUAGUUCUCUUCUUUCUCCCCAUUCUAAGCUACUUUCGACAAAUUACGAACCUCAGGCAGGUAUUUAUACCAAAACAAUGACAUGGAGAGGGAAAAUUUUCCCGCCACCCCUAAUUUCGAGCAUCUGGAAUGUUCCUUCUUAGUCGUCAGAUUGAGUGAUUGACAAAACGGACGGUUAUGACAAAAGAUCAAAAAUGCAAAAAUAUGACAAUUUGGUCCAGGGCCCAAGAAAGAUCCGAAAGAAAUCCACAUAAUUUCAUCUACAUAUUCAUGUCAAAAGUGUAAAGAAUGAAACUUUAUAUUUAAACAAUAGAGUUUAAAUUGAAAAUAUACCAAUUAAAUUGUAUAAAUAAGUAUAAGGUUUAUUUCAUAUCUUAAUAAGAAAAGUUCUUUCCUCUUCUUUUUAAAAUAAUUGUCAUCAAUUAUUUUAACUUAAUUUCUUCUUCUUCUUCAAGCAUAGACUCCUUCUUGAUUCUUGAUGCUCUUCUGUCUACUGUCUCCUCUUCUUCUCUGUCGACAUUCUCCGUUGUAAUUCUUUACAAAAAGUACAUGACCUUCAUUUCUACCAUCCAAUUUUAAACUGAACCAAAGACAUUUUCACAAUCAUUUAUUGAUUCUCAAGUCAUGGAAUCUAAUGGCACUUGAGAAAUGAUAUUCUCAUGAUAAAGGAUUAGAUUUUAAUGACACAUUUGAUCUGGUCACUAAAUUAACUACUGUUAUCACUAUUUUUACAACCAAACUUAUAUUAGAUGUUCAUAACGUAUUUUUACAUAAAGAUAUGAGACAUUUGUAUGAAAUUACUGUUAAUAUACAAAUACACUUAUUAUUAAGUUCACAUUAAUGACUAUUAAUUGUGUGUAUUAAUUAGGAUAAUACUUGAUAUAAAUACUGUAUUUACAUUUGACUGAAAUGACUUUUGAUAAUUGGUUUAUUUUUCACAAAAUACAAGAGUUGUUCUUUAAGAUCUGCUGCUCUCAUCAAGGAUUGAGUGAUCUCACAUGGUAUCAGUUGGGCUCUCAUUGUAGGUAAGGAUCUUGCUUCCGUUUACAAAUCGCGUUUUCUCGAUCCUUUUAAAUUGUUUUUUUUUCGGUUUUCCGAUUUGGACGAUUUUUGGAUUUGAGCGAUUUUAUUUGUUGUUUGUCGAUUCCGAUUUGAUUUCUGUCGAAUACUUGAUUCAUCACGACAAGUUCGUUCUGACUCAAUCAUCGCGACGAGCUCCUCAAAUGUCGAAUAUUUUUACAACCAAACUUAUAUUAGAUGUUCAAUUUUUACAUGAAGACAUGAGACAUCUGUAUGAAAUUACCACCAAACUAUCCUACAAUACAACAUAAUAAGGUUUGUGAACUAGGAAGUAGGAACCCAUCUCUGGAAAAAAAAAUCUAAAGAAAAACAUUGCAGAUUUUAAUGAAAUCUGACGAGCUUAGCAUUAAGAACAGUAACAAGUUGGUCUUUUGUAUACAAUAUUCUGUCAGUGGUGUCCGACAUAAGAAUUGUAACAUGUUGAAUCGUGAUGUUUUCAAUUACUGACAAGCUAGCAAACCCAAUCUCAAAGUCAAGUUCUUUCAACACCGUCAUCAACCUCGCCGCCGGAUGAUUCAUCUUAUCACUCUGCAUUCUGAUCAGCAUUACAUCCUUGCCAACUUUUGUCACCUCGAUAUUUAACAGCUUGUGCUCCAUAACCCCCAUUUUCUCAAUCUUAUCAAUCCUCUCCGGCGAUUUUAUUUGUGAUCGGAGUAUCUCCCCCUCAAAUUCCAACGCUGUUAUAUUUGUCUUCAGUUCGUUGAUGACGGCCACGGCGUCUUCUAGCACUAAAGUCUUAAUAGUACUCCGCUUUAUAAUCUGUGACGAAGAUUUGUUAGUUUGAACAACAUGUCGGAGAGCGAUAAACAGCUUACUGAGCUUCUCUCUGCGUCGACGCUCUACAUCGGUGUGCGUUAUUGGAGUAAUCUUAAGAGAUGCGAGCAAGAACGGAGAAGACAUUAUCAAAGGAAUGAGAUCGACGGAGAUAUGGAAAUUCAAUGUAAAGAUGUAUAAAAUAAGGAGAAUUAACAUGUCGCCGACGUGGGUCAACCCCAUCCAUUUGUAACUUGUUCAUUUGUCAGUGUAGUGUCAGGAAGAUUGAAAAAGCUAGGAGAUAAGACGAUCAAUUAAUACAGGCACAUGGAUUUUUUGAUAGAUACGAUCUGUUUAUUUAUGGACUACGUCAUAUGAGACAAGAAAUUAGUUAAUAUAUCAGAUUCAGAUUUAGAUUCAGUCAACCUUUUUUAUUUAAAUUAAAAUAAUAUAUCAUGGACCAUGGCAUGGGGUGUAUAAAAUGGUCCGUGUCUGUUCGGAAAUGGUCGAACCCAAAUUCAGAUACCAUCUAAAUUUUGACUUUUGAGUACUAUUAUGGAUCCUGGUUCGGGGUUGGAAAUGAUUAAUCCAAAUCUUUGGCCCAACAGAAUGUUUUUUACAUCUAAAAAUUCAAUAAAUUAAUUAAUAAAAUAUGAUGGUAAAAUCGAUAGAUAAUAUGGAUUACAGAAUAAAAACAUAUAAUUUUACUAGUGAAUCCGAGGCCACCACCACUCCACCAGAGCUGGUUUUGUUCAAGUCUUCUACCGUUCCACAUGUCGUCUGUUCCCCCAAUUUCGGCGCGUCGACCCAUCGGAGAUGAGAAAUUAUAUUCAGCUCCUCGUUGCAUUAUCUCGGUUUUAUUCUGCCUGCAAUUCAAGAUCUCACGUCAUAUAAAUAAAUCAAUUUAAAGCAUAGUUAACGGAAUUUCUGUGAAAAAUAUUUAUAAUCGUAAUUUUCGUAAACUUUGAUAAUUUCCAUGAAAAUUAAUUAAUAUCAAAUUAAACGAAAUUUUUGUCACGGGUUUUAAACUACUUGUAAGAAGAUAUCCAUUGCAAAAAAAAAUUAUUUUCCCACCUAAAAAAUAGUUUUCUCAAAUAUUAUUUUUUAUUGUCUUUUUCUAUUUCCACAAAUAAUGGAGAUUUCGUAAGAGUGAGAUAAAAGAGUGUGGAAACUUUGGAGAAAACACGAUCAAUAUUAUCAGAGGCCUUAAUAGGUUUAUUUAUCUAGAGAUCAAAACCGAGUGAAUACAAUUAUACAAUGUGUUAGCGAGAGAGAUAGAUCAGAGUCUAGGGUUUCGUCGAGACGAAGAAGAGGGAGAGUCGCGAGAAAUUGAGAACUAAGAGUUAAAAGAAAAACUAAAAAUGAAAAUACAUUUAUAUAUCUAGGAUUAGGAGGGUGGCGGAAUUGGCCACUUGUGCGCCCAUUUAAUUCAUAGGUAUGAGACCCGUUAACAAAUAAUACUAUUUCAUUUUCCCUCAUUUUCCCAAAAUCAAUUUCCUUUCAUUUUUUAUUUCCCCAAAUAAUGCUCUCAUUUCCCCAAUAUCUCAACCUUCCUUAUAUCUCCACACGAACGGAUUCUCAACACGAUUCUCCACUUCGAUAUUUUCUGUAUUACAAAGGUGAACGCGCCGGAUUUGUCGUUCAGUCUCCACACGCCACUUCGAUCUCCACACGCCAGAUCUCCACCUUCAUUGUCGUUCAGUCUCAGCGGUGGGUAAAUUUUUUUUUAAAGCAAAGUUGGGUAAACUUUGUUUCUUGCAGGUCAGUAUACGAGUGCUUCUUCAAGAAAUUUAUUUAUCUUCUCCUGAAUCAGAUUGCAGUGAACGGAUUACAAAGGUGUUGCUAAGGUUACAAAGGAAUAUUCUUCUUAUAUUUUUCAUUUGUUUGUUACAUUCUUUUGUUUCUGUUUCAGCGGAUUUAUUUAUUUAUUUCGUUUAUGUUUUUGUUUCAUUGUCGUUUAUUUUUAUUUGUCUGUUUCUGUAUCAGGUUACAAAAAUUUUGUUUUUUGUUUUUAAUUUUCUGUUUUAUAUUGUUGAUUGUGUUUGUUUUCUAGCUCUAAGAAAUCUGGAAAAGCAUUGGUCUAGGAUUUGGUUAGGGUUUUAUUUAUUUAUUGUCAUGAUUGAUUUUUUUAUGUUUUUCAUGAUCGAUAUGGAGCCAUUUUGGGUCUAUUUUGAAAUGAAGAUAUUCUAUUUAGUUUAAGCUUAGUUCAUGGUUAGUUCCAGAUUUCCAGACUUUCAGAUUUGUUGAUGGUAUUUAUGAUUGGGUUUUUAUUUUAUUGUUAUGAUAAUAUGAUUGGAUUCAUUUUUCAACUGGUUGUCAUGAUCGAUAUAUAUAGAGUCAUUUGGGUUCAUUUUGAAAUGAAGAUUCUUCGAUCAACCUUGUUUUUAUGGUUUGAUGUUAAUAAAUAUUCCAAAUAAAUGUAUAUUUUGAACUCUCUGUUCUAUUAUGCUAGAUUUCUUUAAUUUUUUGGGUUUAGUGAUUGUCAAACACAAAUUUUGUAUCUAAGCAAGAGAUGAUCAUUGAAUAAUUGUAAAAUCUGAAAUAGUAGCUUAUAUGACUCUUCUGUCUUAAAUCUGAAUCACAAAUCUAGUCAUGACUACUUGGUGUAUUUUGGUUUGUUUUAUAUUAUUUUGUAGUACUGAUAUUUUAGCAAUGUUUUGACUUGUUUUUAUUUUUACACUUUUUCCUCAGUUUUGAUUUUCUUUUGCUUGCUAAUGUUUGCAUUUUUCUUGUAUAUAUAAAAUUUAAAUGUUUUGCUGAUUUUUUCCUUUAGAAUUUUAAAUGUUGGUUGAUUAUUUUUUUCUUUUUCAGAUUGAUUAAAAGAAGAAUAUAAAAGGCAAAGAAGGUAUGUUGUCAUUUAUUUAAUUUUAAGAUUUUAUAUUUUAUUUAGUAAGUAAUGUUUUAUUCAAUUAUUUAGAAAUAAAAUAUUUUAUGAUAGUAAUUUUAUAUUAAUGCAUGCUUCCUUACAUUGCUAUAAUUAGUUAGAGUUAGUUAUUUUUUGUAUGAGUUUUUUGAAUACUCAUUUUAAUACCUUUUUCAUUUAAAUAUUGAUUUUUAAAAAGUUUCUUUUUUGUAUGUUAGGAGAUAGACUAAAAUGGCUAAAAUUGAAAAAAUAUUUACAGCAAUAUAUGCAAUAGAAUACAUUCUGAAAAUUUUUUUUGGCCAAAAAAAUUUUGUAACGGAAAUUCCGUUACAAAUGAUCAGUCUUUAUUUUUUGUAUUUGUAAGGGAAUUUUUAACGGAAAUUCUUAAAAAAAGUUAACGGAUUUGAGUAUUUAUAACAGAAUUUUGGUGAUGACCAGUUAACGAAUUUUCUGUUACAAAUGACAUAUUAACUUUGGUCGUCCAAACUGCCUUUUUUUUGUAGUAACAAUGUUUUCCUCCGUAUGUACCUCCCCUUUAUCCAUAAACCUAUACUAAUUUGUCAUCUGCUGUCCAGAUUAUAAUUGACGGAUUGCAGCUGCCAGGUUUAAUCAUUUAGGAUCCCUCAGACACAACCCCCUUCAUCCACUGGCCUCGUCAUCAAUUUCCAACCUGCACCCUUUCUUUCGUUCCAUAUAAAUCCGAUAGGUAAUGCUUCUGAUUUAGGACCCAAUUUGCAAGUUGAAUGCGUCGACCACCGUAGGACAAACAUCUUAUCAUCGUGAGAGCAAUCUCUUCAGCUUUUCUAAAAGUGGGUUGCAAUCAGCCAAAGAUCUGUCUGUUUUACUUUCACGUCUGUUUUUACCGCUAGCUUUGUUCGACCAUGUAAAUGACCGCCCACAGCUUGCAGUUCCGACAGCCUUGCGUUCAUAAUCAACUGUUGGAAAUCAACCCGCCCAAUCGCCCAUCAUCAUCUUGAAUGAGUUGCCCAAGCCUAUCUCCAUCGUCUAUAGUCUGGUUGAAAUCACCCAUCAUUAGUCAAUUGGUUUGUCCGAUAAUCCUAAAUAGUUGCCUCAAAUCCUCCCAUACUUCACAGUGUUCCGAUCUCGUGUUUCUACCGUAGACAAUGGUAAUGACACUUUAACCGUACCCCCCUUAUUGGUACACUAAGACUAGGGGAGCAAAUCCAAUAUUUUCCACUUCUUCGGAGGGGCGUAUCCAGGGGCAAGGGAGGGCAAUUGCCCCGCUAAAAGUUGGAAAAUCGAGGACCUAUAUGUAAUAAUUUUUUUAUAAGGGGUUAAAUGUAAUUUUUUACAAUAUAUUAAUAUUUUUUAAGGGUUAAAUGGUUAAUAUAUAAAUUUCACAAUAUUUUAUAUACUCUCUCUCUCCCUCUUCUCCCCUAAAUCUCUAAUCUUCUCCGGCCUCCGGGAAUCUCUUCUUAGAUUCUUCACUGUUGUUGCUGCCUUGCUGGAAAUCUCUUCUCCAGUUAUCCCUCCGUUGCUACUUGCUGGAUUCUCUCAUUUCUCUGGUAUUUAUUUGUUGAAUUGUUGAUCUUGUCUGUUGUUUCUACAUAUUAUUUGGGUCUGAUGGAUAUGAUACGAUGGUGGUGUGGUCUGAUGGAUUUUAUUGAUGUUUGAUUUAGUUAGUUGAUUAGUCCUCAUAUGAAGUUAGGUUCUCCGGUCUGCAUAUGAAGUUAGAACUCACAUGUUAAUGUUCUGUUUUUGAAAAAGAAAAGCACAUUAAGAGAUUUUCUUUUCAUCUUCUCACAUAUAUUCAAGUUUGGGAAUGUUGAAAAUUGACGGCGGUAUUGUUCCUGAUAGAUUGUUGAAACUCAAAUCCCUAAAAAAAUUCCAAGAAUGUGAAUUUAAUGAUUUUAUAUUGAUGAAAUGUGUUUAAACAAAUGAAGAGUAUAAAAAAAAUAAAACUUACCGAUAUGCCAAAUUUUCAAAUUCUCCAAUGCUGGAUUCUGGAUGGAAUCGUACCAGCUAUUCUAGUGUUUCUUAAAAUCCUAUUAUCAUUCAAACACAUCUAAAAUAUAAGUAUUAUGUAAAUCAAAAAAAUGUAGAUAGAUAAAUCAUAUAUAGAUGAAUCUUUUUUAAUGGUUUAGGGUUAAUGUAUUGAAUAUUCCUAAAUCAAUUUGAAUAUUAAUUAAUUUAUUGAAUAUUAAUUAUGGAAUGAAUGUAUUAAAUUUUUAUAGGUUUUUAUAAUCGAUUUUAUGAAUAGGUUGUACUAAAUUUUUUAUAAGUUUUUAAAUUAGUACAAUUUUUUUCCCCGCCUUCUGCGAAUCUUGCCCCCUCCUCUGUCAGAGAAUCCUGGAUACGUCGCUGUUCUUCCGUUUCUGUGGUUUCUUAUAAAAAAAGUUGGGAACUCUUUGGAAUCUGGGACGGAUGUAUAUUGUGUAUAGGUCCCGUCCCCGGCAAAUCGGCAAUGGUCGGGAUGAAUUUCCAGAAAACAUCCUACAGAGUUAAUAUUAAAAAAAACUUAUUUGUAACAUAAGGAAUUAUCUGGGUCAAAAAAAUAUUAAUUUAUUUUUAAGUUAGUAGGGUUGAUUAUAAAAAUAUACCCAUAAUAAAUUUAUAAAAAAUACCUUAAGUUUCUAAAUUAUUAACUUAAAUAUCUACCUCAAAUCCCCAAAUAACAAAAUCUCUUCAUUCUUCCCCAAAUAACAAAAUUAUGACUUUGUUCUAGGGUUUUUUCAGAACAGUCUACAGCCUCCAGGUACGUCAAUUUCAGCCAGACAAGUCUUCAGGGUCGAUUUCAGUAAACACCACAAGUCUCUAGGUACGUCGAUUUAAGCCAGACCAGCCAGAUUAAUUACUCGAUUUCAACAAGGUGAAUAUUGAUUGUUAAAUGUUAAUCACUCAUUUUUAUUUUUUCGAUUUCAGCAACUUCACAUUUCUUUUUUCAGCAACUUUGAAUUCACAUUUCACAUUUUCAACCCUUCGAUUUCAGCAACUUCUUUUUCAACAUCUCUCCCUCCUCGACAGCUUAUUAUUUACCAACUUUAGAGAUUUUGAUCAACUUCCUAAAGUAGUAUUAAUUAUUAUUUAUUUGAAAUAUAUCUUUAAAUUGAAUUAGAUAUUCUGAUGAUUUAGAUAUUAAGAUGUUUCGAUGUUUUAAUUAAGAUUUGACUUUUUUAGUUUGACUUCGAUUGUUUAUUUAUUUUAAUUUUGACUAUUGAUUACGAUUUUCUUGAUAUUUCAAUUGAAUUGAAAAAAAAUAACAGCUUUAUUUUCCUCUUGACUGUCCUCUCGAAGAAAGCAGCGUUAACAGAAGAACCCACUUCUUUUGUAACUAAGAAUUGGUCUCCGUAGCAUUACUUUUCGAUGGAAAUAUUAACCGGAGCAAAUGCUCUUCCGACCUAUUUUGCGUCAAGGUCAGUGAAUUUUUCUUUUUUUCAGAUAAUCAAAUUGAGAUGUAAUAUUUUAUCAUAUAUAUUUCUACAUUUGUGAAAUUCACAUUUUUUUUUUCCAGAAUUACGGCGUUCAAGCUUAGAAAUCAAGUGAAUCUGUGUGGAUUCACAUUUAAAAUCCCUCAAAGAAGCUCCUCCCUUUUUGCAUCUCGUAUGUUUAGUAUAUCAUAUUGCUCGAAUGCCAAAUUAAAUGCGUUAAACAAUUCCAGAGAAAAUUCUCAAGACUCUGAUGUCUCAGGUUAUGAGAUUGAUAUCCAAAAAGGUAACCAAUCAAUUUUAACCACAAAAUCUUUCCAAUUUAGCACGUUCUUCUGGUUCAUUCGAAAAUACUUCUUGUUGAACAUUAUUAAGUUCCAACUGAUAAAUUUGAAUCAUUUUUCCACUCCAAUUUAUUUUGUUAGUUCAUUGGUAUUUUUGGAAACUCUAGUUUGAAAAUUAUUUUUCUUCUCCUCGUAUAGUUUCUUCUCUUGUUUGUCAGAUAAUGUUUGAAUUAUAUCUCUUCUUCUGGUUUCUAUUAUAGAGGAGAAUGUAGCAGUUUUAGUUAUUGGUGGUGGAGGGAGGGAGCACGCUCUCUGUUAUGCCUUGAAACGAUCUCCAUCAUGCAUGUCUGUCUUUUGCUCUCCUGGUAACCCAGGAAUCACACAUUCUGGGACUGCGACAUGCUUACCUGACCUUGACAUCUCCGAUAGCUCUGCAGUCAUUUCAUUUUGCCAAGAUUGGCAAAUUGGGUUAGUUGUGAUAGGUCCCGAGGAUCCUUUGGUUAAUGGUCUUGCCAAUGAUCUUGUCAAAGCUGGAAUUCCAACAUUUGGACCUUCAGCAGAAGCUGCAGCAUUAGAAGGCUCAAAGGAUUUUAUGAAAAAAUUAUGUGAUAAAUAUCACAUCCCCACAGCCAAGGUUCAUUUUUACCUCAGGCAAUAUAUUUUUCUUGGCAAACCGAUUUGAAAUUUAUUCUGUUUGUAUGUUGAACUUGCAGUAUAGAACAUUCACAGACCCCUCUGAUGCCAAAAAUUAUGUGAAGGAGCAAGGAGUCCCAAUUGUGAUCAAGGCAGAUGGUUUAGCUGCAGGAAAAGGAGUUACUGUUGCCAUGGCCUUGGAAGAAGCAUAUAGAGCCAUAGAUGCUAUGAUGGUAGAAGAAUCUUUUGGAAAAGCUGGUUCUCGAAUCAUUAUUGAAGAAUAUUUGGAAGGGGAAGAAGCUUCCUUCUUUGCUCUUGUUGAUGGCAAGAAUGCAUUGCCGCUUGAGUCAGCACAGGAUCAUAAACGAGUUGGUGAUGGUGAUAUUGGGCCAAAUACAGGUGGAAUGGGAGCUUAUUCUCCUGCGCCAAUAUUAACAAAAGAAGUUCAAUCUCUGGUUAUGGAAUCCAUAAUUCUUCCUACGGUGCAAGGAAUGGCUAAUGAAGGGUGUGAAUUUGUUGGUGUGUUAUACGCAGGGUUGAUGAUCGAAAAAAAAUCUGGAUUACCCAAGCUUAUUGAAUAUAACGUUCGGUUUGGAGACCCAGAAUGUCAGGUAAAAAUGUAUGUUUUUUUUUAUAAAUAUUUUUACCUUGUAUGUGAUGUUCGGUUGUUACAGGUUUUGAUGCUCAGGCUAAAGUCUGACCUGGUAAGAGUUCUCCUUGCAGCAUGUAGAGGACAACUCGGAACGGUGUUAUUAGAUUGGUCUCCUGGAUCAGCCAUGGUUGUUGUAAUGGCAAGCAAUGGUUAUCCAGGAGCUUACGCCAAGGGAAGUGUGAUAAAAAACCUUGACAAAGCUGAGGCUGUAGUUCCAGAAGUCAAGAUAUUUCAUGCUGGAACUUCACUUGAUUCCGAGGGAAACUUUAUUUCAGUUGGAGGGCGGGUACUUGGUGUCACGGCAAAUGGAAAAGAUUUAGCAGAUGCUCGUGACAGAGCUUACCGAGCUGUUGAAGAGAUUGAAUGGCCCGACGGUUUCUACCGAAGAGAUAUCGGUUGGAGAGCACUUCCCCAUACAAAUUUUGUUGUCGAAACCUAAAAUGCUUGUUUAGACAUGCUUUAAGUUGUUGUUAUUUUGAAAGAACAUGUAUAAUUUAAAAACAAUGGUUAAUAAUUUUGGAAUAUUUUAAUUUUUAUGCGUACUACUCUUAACUCUUCUUAACUCUUCUUAACUCUUAAGAUCUUAAAUUAUAAAUUCAUUUUUUUAUUCAUCAAACAUACAAUUUACGAACAUACAAAAGGAAGGGAGAGGGGACUGGGCAGUACAACAUUUCAACCAAUUGAAAUUUACCUAGAUUGUUUUUUGCUUCUGAUUCUCAAAAGGCGUUUGAAUGCUCUGAAAAUCUUCCAUUUCCUCUUCACUAAAGUUUUCACUUGAUGCUUUUCCUGUUGCUGUUGCUGGUUUGUAAUUCUUCCUGUAGGGUCGUCGUCAUCACUACCAUCACCACCGUCCAGUGAUGUAUGGCCAACCUUCAAGUACCCACCAGCAGUAGAAAAUGAAGAUUUUCUUCUAAUCAACACCCUACUUACAAAUCGUUGCACCUUCACACCAUAUCUCGAUUUUGCUGCACAAGGGUAGUUGGGAUGGAUAUGACCCUCCUUCUCCCACAUCUUAGUGUACCCAUUCAUUCCCUUUCUCCUCGCAAGCUUUGUAUGUGUUCUGGUUUCUGAUUUGGAACCAUGGAAGAGCAACAAAUAAGAUGGUGUUAAAGAAAGUGUGAGAUUUAAAAUGCUAGGGAAGAGACAGCGGUGGGGAUGGGUUAUAGUGCUUUUGCUGCUACAAUCUUCAAAUAUUUUUGGUUGUUUCUGACAAAAUACACAACUGAGAUCCAAAUUCUACACCUGUUUGGCUGUUUCCAUAUUUCGAUAUUAACUCAAAAUUAAAAUGAUCAAAACUUUGGAUGAUCUUAUAUUAUUCAGACACAGAUUUAAUCCUUCAAAAAGAUUUACAAACUUCAACUACAGUAAUGGAUUAUUUAACACCUUUAAAUCUGUGAUGCAGCUCAUCAAUAAUUAAUAAUUAUCACGUGUUCUUCAUUCAAUUUAUUCAGAAAAGGGGAUAAAACAUGAGAGAGAAGAUUUAGAUAUGGACAUCUUUUUUCUAUUAAUGUAAUUAACACCUUAAAUGAAAUCCAGGUAACGUUAGUGAAUAACGUGGUUAAAAUUUUAAAAUCCACGAUUGUAAAUUUGGAUUUUUUUUUAAAAACAGUCGGAAAUAAUAAAAGAGAUUGGAAAAUUUGCCAAAAUGAAUUUAUUCUUAAUAAAAUUACAAUAUAUGUGUAUUUUUUAUUAAUUUUUCUAUUAAGGGGCACAAGGUAUAUUUUUCCUUUCUAUUUAUAUAGAGUUUUGUUCUUCUAGGUUUUGUUCUCUUCUUUAAAUCUUUAGCGAUCGGACAUCGGACGCGCGAGAUAAAGUUUCCAGAUCUGAGUGACUGAGACCAACAGAGUACUUCACCAAAGAACAUCUAUGGCAUUGGUAAUUCAGGGAUUUUAUUUUCAUCUUUUGUUUCUUUAAUUGUUUUUUUCUUUCGAAUAUAUGGAAUUUUAGGUUUUUGCGAUUCGUCUGUUUAAUGGAUCGAUUAUGUUUUUGUUUCUCCAAUCUGUCAUAUCGAUCGAUCUAUGCGGGUUUCAGUUUUUCGCAAUCGUUGGAAAUUAUUUGUUUUUUUCACUCUUCAAUGGAAUAUAUACCGUGAGGAUUAGAUGAUGAACAAAUAAUUUUAAUGUUUUGGUUUAUUUUAGUAUUUUUUUUUAUUAAUUUGAUUGUUUCACGUUUUUCUAUUAUUUGCGUGAUAAGGUAAGGCAUAGCUUUAUUUAAAUUGGGAAGCUAGAAUUAGCUUUGUCAAAUUCUUUUUGUCACUCUACAUAUUAAUUUAGUUGUGAGAGGCUUUAUCAAAUAUUUCUUCUUCUUCAUGAAUCAUGGUAGAGUGUGUCUUUUUUAUCUUUUUCUUUUCAAAAAGCAAAAAAAUUAUUUUUGCCAGGUACUCCAUACUUCUCCGGCAAACAAAAAUGCAUAUAAGGUGCUUGUUGCUGCUGAGUACAGUGGUGUCAAAGUUGAUUUGAUAGACAAUGUGCAAUUUGGAGUGACCAAUGUGACUGCUGAGUUUCUUAAGAUGAAUCCAAUUGGGAAGGUACAUUUUUUAUUUAUUUUUGCCAUAACAUUCCCAGGAUCUCAUUACAAAGUAGAUAUAUCAUUGAAAUUUAUUUUUACCGAAUAUACUAUUGUUAAUUUGUUAUGUAGGUUCCUGUACUACAGACUCCUGAUGGACCUAUUUUUGAAAGCAAUGCCAUUGCUCGCUAUGGUAAGUACCUCACAUAUAAAAUUAAUUUCUAAAUUUUCAUUAUGAACACCUAGAUAAGUUCCUCUGGUUUUCUACAGUUACGUUGCAAAAGUCUGACAAUCCUCUAAACGGUUCAUCCUUGAUCGAUCAAGUAAAUCAUUUAAUUCAAAUCCAUCUAAUUAUCCGACGCCUUAUAUGCGAAUUGUUUCUCUGUGAUGCAUUAUUAACAAUGUCAAACUACUUGUUCGCAGGCUAGAGUAGCUCAGUGGAUGGACUUCUCAAUGUCGGAGAUCGAUCGUUGUAUUGGACUUUGGCUUUAUCCCAGACUUGGAUUUUCUCCUUACCUUCCUCCAGUUAGUUGAUCUCUUGUUUUUUUUUCUUUCUAAAAUCUUAAAGUGAGGUUUUAUUUUAUUAAUUUAUUAUAUUCUAUUUAUAUUUUUACAGGCUGAGGAGUUCGCCAUCACUUCUCUGAAAAGAUCUUUGGAGGCACUGAAUAAGCACCUUUCGACAAAUACUUAUCUAGUUGGACAUUCUGUGACAUUGGCUGAUAUCGUGAUGGUUUGCAACCUUUAUUAUGGAUUUAAGACUGUCAUGACGAAGAGCUUUACAUCACAAUUUCCUCAUGUCGAGAGGUACUUAUGGACAUUGAUGAAUCAGCCGAAUUUCAAGAAGGUCAUCGGUGAAGUGAAGCAAGUCGAGUCAGUUCCACCUAUUCAGUCAAAGAAGUCAGCUCCUAACCCAAAAGCCAAAAAGUCACCUGAAAAAGAAACACCGAAAGCUAAAGAAGUGGCAGUGGUGGAAGAAGCACCAAAGCCUAAAGCCAAGAAUCCUCUGGACUUACUCCCCCCAAGUAAGAUGAUCUUGGAUGAUUGGAAGAGGUUGUAUUCAAAUACAAAAACCAAUUUCCAUGACAUUGCUAUCAAAGGUACCAUUUUCUCGAACCCAUCCUCUUCGUAAUUAAAUCUCCAAUUUUUUGUAAGAUUUGAGUCACCUAAUCCUUGGUCUGAUAAACCUGUUUAUGGCGGCACAGGUUUUUGGGACAUGUAUGAUCCUGAGGGUUACUCACUCUGGUUCUGCAACUACAAGUUCAACGAAGAAAACACAGUUUCCUUUGUCACCAUGAACAAAGUGGGUGGAUUUUUGCAGCGUAUGGACUUAGUUCGCAAGUACGCUUUUGCAAAGAUGCUGAUCAUUGGAUCCUCACCUCCCUUCAAGGUGAAGGGUCUCUGGCUGUUCCGUGGUCUUGAGAUUCCGCAGUUUGUUCUUGAUGAAUGCUAUGACAUGGAUCUGUAUGAGUGGACCAAAGUAGACGUCGCUGAUGAAUCCCAGAAAAACCGUGUUAAUGCUAUGAUUGAGGAUCUGGAACCCUUUGAGGGUGAAGAUCUCUUGGACGCCAAGUGCUUCAAGUGAUUUCAUCUUUUUAUUUAUUUAUUUAUUGUUUACGAACAGUUUUAUUAUAAUCUUUUUGCUACAGAAGACGGAAAUGUUUAGUUAUUGUAAUUUAAAUAUUGAAUGAAUAUUUAUUUCUACUGUUGUAUGCAUUAAAUCAUGAAUCAAUUUUGUUAACCUAAAUAAUGUAUUUCUUUUUCACCAAUGGAUUUUGAAUACUGGUAAUUACCAUAUUGAUUUUGCCUCUAGAUUCCUGGACUUCAUAAGAUUUUUAAGAUGAUUUUCAUCGCAUCCACUUACUCUUUUUAACAAAACAGAGAUUUCGAACAAAGAUAGGAAAAUUUCAAUAAAAUGACCACCACAUUCAACUGUAGCUAGAAAUGCUUCACCUUCAUAAAUCUGAAAUUCAGAUACACAGACCAUAAAACAAAACAGCAUUUCAAAUUAAACCAAGGAUGAAGUAGACAUUUUCGAAUUAACACUAAACCAAAGAUGUGCUAAAACAAGCAGCAAUAGCAGUAGCAGCAGCAAUUGCUUCAGCAUUUUCAAAUUUAUUUUAGCUUCUUCUUCUCAAGCCUCUGCCGUGCUCUUUGGAAUUCAUCUUCAGUAGGUUCACAUGAUGCUUCACCAACAGAAUUGCAAAUUAUUUUAUCAAACAUGGUCUCAAACUUCUCUUUCCGCUGACUAUGACGCUGGGAAAUAACAGCAACCAAAUCAGUUUCGACCUUUUUCUUUGAUCUGCUCUUUUUACGUGCAAGAGGGUUGAGAGGUGGUUUGGAUUUAGCUACCACAUUUGCCCACUUUUUGUAUGCUUUGAAUCCCUUGAGUUCACCUUAAAAAUAAUUAGAACAUGAGAUUGCAAGUACGUGGAGAGAUUAUAUUCAGAAUUGUUUUGUAUAAUGAUUCAAACCUUCAGCUAUUGCAUUGUUAAUGAUGUCCAUGAAGCGAUGUGAAUCCAACUUUGGGUCAGAGCAAAUCAUUGUGCAAAAGAGCCUAGACAGCAAAAGAAUUUAGGUAAAGAAAUGAAAAACCUUAAAGUGAACAUUAAUGUUUUUUUACCUAUCCAUGUUGCCCUUGAAUUCUAUGUACAAAUCUUUUAAAUCUUUUUCCUCAGAAUCUGAUCCUCUAUAGUUUGCUUCAAAAUCUUCAAUAUCAGCCGUUGUAACCUGCAUCAGAUCCGAAAAUAAUAUCCACCUUAUUUUAUAAAAAUAAAAUGAAAAAGAAUGUGUAGAUGAGGUGUUUAUGAAGAAAAAAAUGAGUAGAUACCGUUUUGUAAAUUGAUCUGAAAAACUCUUUUAGGUUAUUAAAAGAUUCACCAGAAAGAUCUUGAUAAUAAUUUAGAGGAUAUAAGAGUAAAGUAUAUCAUCGUUAAAGCACAAGACAUAUGAAAAGAUGAUCAUAAAGAGCCCUUUUUUCCUCAUCGCCAAGUAUGGCUAUCACUUUCUGCAGACGCUGAAAAUUUUCUUUGGCUUCCUAAAACAUGCAUAAUUCAAGGAUAUGAAAUAUUGCUACUGUCAGAAAUGAAGCAAAUCAGAACACUAAAUUGCACCUCGUCACCAGGAUUUUUAUCUGGAUGAAGACGCAAAGCUAACUUGUGAUAUGCUUUCUUUAUUUCUUGUCGAGUUGCUGUAUUCUCUACUCCAAGAAUCUGCAUAGAGCAAAAACUGCUUGUUUGAAAAAUCACGUAAAAGAUAAUGUUGUGCAUACUGAAGUUCUAAAUCACCAAAAGAGAUGGAUAAAAAAGUUUACGAAAAACAUGGCAGAAAAAUAAACACUAUAGGACCGAGUAUAAGGUGUCCUAGUAGAGGGUCGGUUUUUUGAGAGAAAGAAGAGAGAGUAUAGUUUGUUUUGGUCAUCCCGUCAUCACUAGAUAAUGAGAAUAUAUUGGAAUCUAGGAUCCCAGAUCCUAUAUACAAAACUAUAAUAAAUAGUUUGAUUCCCAAGUUUUAGGUCUCAACAGCCUUAUAAUAAUGUUCGCAUUAGUUCAAAGGUUUCGAUUUUGCAAAUAUAACGAUAUGUCAGAUUUCCAAGAAAUAAAAUCUAGAGAUCAAAACCCCAAAAAUGGCACUGUAGCAACUCUCAAUUUUGAAAUAAAAAAAAAUCAAGCACUGUCGAAACAACAAUCCAUCAAGAAAUCACACACUAAAAAAUUCAAUCAAAAAACAGACAACUGAAUCCAAUCGAACACUACACCAAAUUCAAGUUAAAGCAAGAAUAAUCAAAUCAAAACAUAACAAAAAAUAUAUACAAACAGAUAUAAUUCAAAUAAUCGAUGUAGAACACAACCAUAAAGAAUCAAAUUUAAAAAAUCCAGAAACACAACAAGAAAAAAGGUAAUCGAUGUAGGAUGCGACCAUAAAGAAUCAGUCAUGGAUACACUUACCUCAUACAAACUCUUCUCUCCGUUCUGCGAACCAAUAUCGAUCUCUGUUUUGAUUCCAUCCUCCUCGGAAACCCUAGUUCUCUUCUUUCUCCCCAUUCCAAGGUACUCUCGACAAAUUACGAACCUCAGGCAGGUAUUUAUACCAAAACAAUGACAAGGAGAGAAAUUAAAUUUUCCCGCGACCCCUAAUUUCGACUAUCUGGAGACUGGAGUGUUCCUUCUUAGUCGUUAGAUUGAGUUGUUGAGAGAACGGACUGUAAUUAUAAAAGGUCAAAAAUGCAAAAAUAUGACAAUUUGGUCCUGGGCCCAAGAAAGGUCCGAAAAAAGAGGGGCGAUAACGUAAAAGAUUACCAGACCAGAGAAGAGCGGAGGAAGGAGAUGGGGAGGCCGGAGGCAGCAGAAACAUCUCAUCUUCGUUUGGCUCGGUUCUCUACAGGUUAUCUACAUUGAGUUUAUUGUGAAUUUCUUUAUUUAUAUCCGGUGAGGAUUCAGGUCAGGGGAGAUGUGUUUUGAUUUUGGUAGUCGUCAGUUUUGCUGGAUUCAACCGUAUCUGUUUUUUGUUUCUGAUAAUUUUUCGUAUUGCUGUUAGAAAUCCGGUAGGAGUGAAUUUUUCCUUCCUUUACUGUUUUUUCUUUAAUGUUUCGUGGCUGAGACUUGUUUCAUUCUCCAUCGAUGAAUGUAUAGGAUUCCUAAAUUGAAUUAGGGGAGAAUUUCAUGUGAUCAUGAACAACCUGUCAUAUAAUAUUGGAGUUAGCAAACCUUUCACUGCUUAUCCCAAAGGAGACUUUGACAUAGAAUCUGGAACCUUCAAGAAGGGUAGGCGAAGAAAGAUCUCACUCUCAGCAAUGGUCAGAAAUUUUAGGGAUCAUGCACAUCAUUUCAUUAAGCUGCGUCCCAUUGCCGCCGUCUUCAGCAUUUUACUAUUCUUGGCUGCAAUUUUGAUUAUAGGUAUUUCGGUUGUCAAUAAUCGAUCCAUGGUAGUGGGAUCUUUAACUAGUUAUAAUCUAGAUAGAAAAACACCUGGUUCGUAUCCUUUCCAAAACCUUCGCAAUCUUGUAAUGGUCGCUGGGCAUUCGAUCUAUACGAGUAACAGUUGUGGCAAAGUUGACCAAGAAGACUCAUGGUUCCUUGAACCAUACCAGAAACACCCAGGUCAAGCUGCCACCUUCGUGGCACAUAUCCAAGAAGGAGUGACGUUUACAGAUAGAGAUGAUGAUGCUCUUCUUUUAUUUAGUGGUGGUGAGACUCGAAAGGAUGCAGGGCCAAAGAGUGAGGCACAGAGCUACUGGGGCGUUGCCGAAUCCAAAGGGUGGUUUGGUAAGUCAUUCCCAAAUUAUCUACAUUUGAGGUUUAAUUUGUAACAGUGUCUGUAUAUGUCUUUGGUAUGCGCAGGAAAAGAAGAAAGUGUUAGGCAUAGAGCACUCACUGAAGAGCAUGCAAGAGACAGCUUUGAAAAUCUUCUGUUCAGUGUCUGUCGAUUUCGUGAACUCACAGGAGUUUAUCCUCAAAACAUCACAGUAAUUAUUCUUGAAUUGUACAACUUUGAGUGUAUAAUUAAUUAUCCAAAUAACGUUUCUGAUUUUCUGAGUGUUUUUUAUCAUCAACAAAUGGGUCGCAGGUAGUGAGUUAUGAUUUCAAGGAGGAGAGAUUUGCACAUCUGCAUAGAGCAGCAAUAGGAUUUCCUGAAACAAAUUUCUUAUACAUUGGAACGCCAGUUUCAUUUCCGUCAAGAGAAGCUAUUGACGGUGAGGCAUCUGUAAGGGCUCUGUUCGAACAAGAUCCAUUUGGGUGCACUAGCUCACUUCAUUGGAAGAAGAUUGGACGAGAUCCUUUUCAUCGAACCAUACCUUAUCCAAAUGGUUGCCCUGAACUGAAAGAGUUGUUUAGCUACUGUGGCACUGUUCCUUACCAAGGCAACCUUCCUUGGAACCAUUAGAUUUGAAAUUUUAGAUACAGUUAAUAGAACCAGCAAUUGUGUGAUCCUUUUCAAUUAGUAUUGCUGAAAACAUUUCAUAACAUAAAAUCAUAAAUUAAAAAAAAAAAAAAUCAUUUCUCUUUUAAUCUAAUAGUUUGAUUUUGCUUUUAAAAAAAAGGUUUGAUUUUGAUCAUGGACGUAGAUUUUCUUUUACAACGUGAAUAUAACUGAGUGGAUAGAAUUAUAUUCAAAAAAUUAGUAAAUUGGUUUGAUUGAAUAGUUAUCAGUUUUCAACCAGUUGUCUAGUGGGAGUUUGUUUAUGUACUUGACCAGUUGCCCUGAUUUCUCUACGUCUAUUAAGGGACUUUGAUGUCUUUGAAAAUAAUAGAGAAUUUAAAGGCCUAAGGAGAGAUUUGGGCUGGAGCCCAUUACAGGUCCGCAAAAAAGAGAGGAGAUAACGGUAAAGACUACCAGAACGAAGAGGGGAGAAAAGCGGGAAGGAGAGAUGGAGAUGCAACGGCAACGACAACAAAAAACUGUCAUCUUCGUGUCGGUGGCCUCCCUGCAGAUUAUUUCCUGUGAGCUUGUAGUAAAUUUAUUUUAUUAUUUUCGGGUAAGUUUCAGAUCCGUGCGGGGUUUUGAGUUCGGGAUUUGUUAGUUUUGUUGGAUUCAACUGGAUCUCUUUGGUGUUCGUGAUAGUUUUUUUGUGCUGUGCACUUCUAGUAUGGUUAAAACUCAAAAUUCGUCAUUAUUUUCCAGUGAUAAUAUUUCUGCGGAGUAAUUUUUUUAUACCUUUCCUGGAUAAAUAUUUCAGCUCUGAGUGAUUUUUUACUUUCUGUUUGUUUAACUUCUCCCUGGGCAUGAGCUGCCAAGAGGGUUUAGGAUUGAUGAAAAUACGAAAUCGAUAGUUAUGCCACUGAGUUGUGGAUUUUAUAUAUUAUUUUGUUCUUUUAUUUUUUUAUUGCACUUGACCGAUUGCUUCUGACUUCUGAGAAAAUUUCAUCCAAUUUUUUUUUACAUAUAUAAGCUCAUGAGAGAAUUUAAAUCAACAGAUCAGUCGAUUUCAAAUCAUUAUUUUAAUAGCGGAAGCCUAAGUAGAUGAACAAUCCUAGAAUUAUGAGUAAACACACAUUAAAUUCAAGUGAUGCUUAAGCUUUUAAAACUCUUCUUUAAAUGAAAUUGAAAUGAUUACAAACUGUUUUUAUUUAAACAUAAAUCGAUCAAGUGUUUAAUAAGCACUGUGAAUAUUUAUGUAAUAAAUGCAAUCAAUUAUUUCUAGUAACUAAUGUAAAAAGUCUGAGAUUCUAACUAAAUGCACAUUUUCAAUUAUGUUUUUAGUUUGUUUUCUUGGAUUACCUUCAGCGAGUUUGAUAUCCUACUAUGUGUACAAGUCGUUGACUUUUUUGCUUCAUGCUUUCUCAACCAAAGGUCUCGCCGCCGACCCAAAAUCCACUAGUUCUUCCAAAAAAGCUUUUGCAGUGGUGUGCACAUUACUUGGAUUGAUCAUCUUUGUGUUAUUAAGCGUGUUCUUAUUCAAAUGGUGGCAGAAGAAAAAAAGGGAAGAUCAGCAGGCUCGUCUCCUAAGGCUAUUUGAAGAGGAUGAUGAUCUUGAAGUUGAACUUGGUCUUCGAGAUUGAUUACUUGAUGAUUUUCUUGUAACUUGUUUUAUCAGGUCAGUUGUCCAAAUGCUAUAAGAAAUCUUGUCAAAGUUUUAAGUUGAACCUGCAUGCGGCAUAUCAAUUCACAUCAUUAUGAAUUUGUUUUUUAAAAUAUUUUUGUCCUUCUAUUUAGGGAAUUAGAUUUUCCUUGUCUUGACAUUAUUAACUACUUUAAACCUGUGAAUGAUAAACCACUAAUACCAGUAUUCAAUUGAAUUUAUUCUCCAAAUCCAUGGAAGCUUGUUCAUUUGUAAAUUUGGGAAUAAUUGUUUCUUUUUGGAAAGUAUUUCAUUUAUUUUUGCUAUGGACAUAAAAAUUAAAAAGUUACUAUUUAUAUAUAAAAUGUGGGUGGUACUUCUUUCGAAAAAUCAUUAAACCUGAGUUCUAAAUGAUGUAAAAACAACAGUUAGUCUGCCAUAGACCAUAGUCCACCACAUCAUGAAAUUUCAAAAUACAUAUAUUUUGUUCUUGCCCUUAUUUAGAUUAAUUAUUAACCUAAUUGAUCGAUUGCCUUCUAAUCUAAUACUCUCCAUCAAAAUAUUGCAGGUUUGGACCUUGGUAGCUGUUUGUUGCUGUAUAAAUUAGAUAAUUCAGGAUUUUCUAAAAUGUAAAUCUGUAUGAUGUGAUAGAUCUCAGAUGAGGUCAGUGCUCUCUCUUCUACAUUUAUAUACACUUUUAGAGAAGAAGUAUAUGUGUUCAGAGUAACUGUAAAAACCAUCUUUCACAUUCAUCCAUAAUCUCAAUUCAAAGUUGUCAUUGCAAAUUACUAGUCAUAUUAUUCAGGAGUUUUUUACUGGAAUAAAUAUGUACUGAAGUUGAUUUUUCUUUUCUUCAGCCAAUAUAGGAAGAUAUAUUAAAUACAAACUGAAUGAUAAAUCUGUUCAGUGUUCACAUAUGUGAACGUAUCCACAAUAAAUAAUUGUAUAACAAGAUCAAAUAGUUUAGAGAUCGUAUGAGAACCCUUCUCAUGGUUAGAGUAUUUUGUACAGUUAGUGUUUUUGUGCAAAUUAUGCAAAAAAACAUGCAAAUCACUGUUCAAAACGUUGUCUUACGACGAGAAGGCUUCUCAUCUCUAAACUCAGUUGGUAAGAUCAGAUAUGAGUAAUUAAUUGGUACUCUCAUUGUUGUUUUCCAUACCCCCAUAAAUCCAUUUCUCCCCUGGAAUUUGGCAUCUGAUUCAUAUGAUGUACUUCAGUUGCUGCCGUUGUGUUUCCAAAUCUCCCAAGCAUUGUCCAGUCAUUUUCAUCACCUCCAUGUCCUCCUCCGCUGACAUCUAGCUCUCCUGGGAGGGCUGAAAAGUCAUAGUUUGGGCCACUUCCGGGUUGUCGGUGAUCAGGCAGGAGGUUUUGCACUUGAAUUUGGGGAGGAUAAUGGUGUGAUUGCAAGUGAGUGUACUGAAGCCCAAGGUCUGAAGGUGGCUUGUAGAUGCUAGAAUUGUAGUGUUGCAGUUGCUCUUGCUCCUGUUGUUCACUAUGGAUGUACUGCGUUGGCAUACGGAAUUGAUCUGUGGUUGCUACCAUCAAUGGAAGGCCCAUGUGUUCCUCAAUUCCUCCUCCUUGGCCCAUGCCACCGCUGCCCCCCUCAUCUGAUCCACUUGCUCCGGCAAUCUUGAAGAAAUUCUUCUUCAAGAAUACACGGCACACGACCCAUCCAUCCUCCUGUAAAUCACGAAGUAAAAAAAAAAAUCAGGUUUUUGAUCGAAAGCAAAAGCCGCCACUCUUAUGAGAAGCUAGCUAGUUAGCUUACAGUCCCGACAGGUUGGGUAUCUUCUGAAUCUUCGAGUCGGUACUCAUGCAUAAUCCAAUCAGACUUCUGGCCGUGAGGAGCUCUUCCUCUAUAAAACACAAGUGUCUUCCUCAUCCCAAUUUUCCUGAAACUAUCUCUUAUACACUUAUCUCUCCCUGUAGCCUUCCAGAAUCCGGCAUUUGUGGCCCUGUUCGUCCUCGACCCUGUAGGGUACUUCCUAUCCUUAUGGCUGAAGAAGUACCACUCAUUCUGUGGUGCAGAUCCUAUUCUACACCUCUCUGUAGGCAAAACAAAAAAUUAUAAACUUGACAUGUCUGGAUUCAAAUCCUGGAUCCCUGACUUUUAAAUCCACAAUUUUGAAUCAAAAAGUGUUUAGACAAAAGGAUGCAAUAUAUAUAUAUAGAUUGGUUGUUGUUGUGAAUAUACCUUGCAGAUCCCAUGGCUCGAGCCUGUUCAAGUCGACCUCGCGGAUGACUUCAAUCUCGAACUUCUCGAACAAGAUUUUCUUCUUGAGAUAGUAGUGAAGAAGCUCCUCAUCGGUAGGGUGGAAGCGAAAGCCCGGAGGCACACCAAAAGACGCAGAGGUUGAAGAAGAAGAAGCCAUCGAUCUAUGUAGGUAAUUAUAUAUCCUGACUGGCUGAUCGACUGACUAUUUCUCCAUCAGUUUCCUCCAAAUUAAACGAGAUGGGUGGUGGUCUUAGAGAAAUUAAAGUUCUUCAACGCAACCAUGGCAGUGGCAAUAUAUAUGCGCAAGUUAAGAAAUUAAAAUAGGUGGCCACUAGGUAGCUAGGCAAAGCUAGCUAGUCAUGAUAGUUUGAGUAGCAGUUCAUCAAAAGUUGCACCGCGAGCCGGCAAGGGCGGCGGAUGGAGCUGGUACUGGCUUGGGAUCGACGUUAGCGGUGGUGGUACAUGCAUGAUGCGUAUAUGAGAUCGAAUUAAUAGGUAGUAGUUUGAUUUUUCUGACUUUUAUUCCAUAAAUUAACGAUCCCGAUACCUCAAACAUCGAGCUUGGUGAAUGAAUAUGAUGAGUGGUGAGCAUGAGCUGUAGAAAACUGCAAUAAUAAAAUUAGACGUUUCAGCCUCCAGGAAUAUUCUGACUAAUUACAUCUUUUUUCUAUGAUCGUCCUUGAGGUCAACCCAACUUAAUUAGUCACGGGUCCAAUCUUAGUAAUUAAUUGCAGGUUGUUCUUCGUAAGUGACCGGAAAAGGUGUGUUCCCGUUGUCAUCACUUAGGGUUUAAGUUACUUAGACGCCGGACUGAGUUUAAUUAAUAAAUCAAGUCAAGUCAAUGAAGUAAUUAUAAUUAAUUAACUUAUUUUUUUGAUUAUCUGUUUAUUGUAUCGUCGUAUGUACGUGGUUAAAUAUUUCAAUGUACAUGUUUAUGAUCUCUAGCUAGAGACGGAGUAGAAAUUAGAAUCAAUUUUCUAAUUAACACGAUCGAUAAUAUGAUCAUAUAUGACUAUUAGAGCUGUGAUUAGACCAUUUGAUGAAAAUCACAUAAUUAAAUUAGUUUAAAAAUUACACCAUUGAUUAAGAUCUGAUCGAUGCAUGCGAAGCCUUAAAUGUUGAUUAUAUAUAGUUAUUAUUAAUGUUUGAUGUUAUUAUUAUCCAAGUUGGAGUCUCAUGCAAAUGCAAAGAGUGAAAUAUUGUGAGGUACGUAAUAAUAUAUAUAUAUAUAUAUAUAUAUAUAUAUAUAUAGUUAGUUAGUUAGAUUGCGCGAGAGAACCGUACUAAUUAUUAUCGAUUGGCGCAAGCUAGCAAGCAAGAUUGAUCGAAGAUAUAUAUAUCGAUGAGAGCGAGAAGUGAUUUGAACAAGGAUAUGAAAAAACCACAUGGUAAUAUAUAUGUUUGAUUGUCCGAGACGUGAAAACAAGUCUGUCUUGUUCUAACUUAAGAUAGAAAUUAAAAGUUAUCUCUCUCUCGAUCUCUACUUCUCGAUCUAUUAUUCUCAUUCCUUUCUUAAUUCCAGAGAGUUGACAUUGCCUGUUGGCUGUUGCGUGAGAAGCACAAGAGAUCGAUGUUGAACGUGAAGGUGAGGUCCCAUGGCUCAGAUUCCGAGGAAGAGGAGGAACGAGUUGUUAAAUCGGCCGGGAAGGUUCAUUGCACUCAAAGUUACGCGUACCAAAAAAGUUGACUCUAGCUAGGUACGUUAGCCGUCUUGCUAUUUUAAUUUACACAGUUGGACUUGGAUUUUUUAAAACCAGUCAUCAAUCAAUUUGCAAACUUAAUUACGGUAGAAUUUGUAUGUGCGUUUUUUUGUUUGUGAAAAUGUGAAUUUUUUAUAAUCUUUAUUUUACAAUUACACUCACUUGAAUCAUCUUAAUUAAUUCUUAAUCAUUCAUCUAUGCAGAAAAUAUAAAUUAUAUAUUUACGAUAUUAUUAAUUUGUCCGAUUUUAAUUUAUUUUUUAAUUUUAACGUAUUUUGACAUCGACACACCUUAUAAUUAAAGGAAUUAGUCAAAAGCUAGUUAGAUUAGACUAAUUGUAAACAUAAUACAUAAUCUAUAAUUCUGUAAAUUGGAUCUAAAACGAAUUAAAUAAAUGGUAUAAGUGUUUAAUUAGUUAUUGUACUAAGUUUACCAUGCAGAUAAUUUGCCCGUGACUCAUGAAACAGACAGCGAAGAAAUUGAAAGACCAAAGCGCAAUAAUUUCAAUAAAAACUUAAUGGGCCAAUUGCGAGUGGGCCGAUUUUAUGUUAUGAAAUUAGUUAAUUUCAAUUGUGUUAAAUAACAUUGUAAUUAACAAGUUAAUUAAUCAAAUGAAAAUUAAUUCUAAUCUCCCCCUAAACUCACACUCGCAAUAACUCUCAUCAUUCAACCGUUGCUACAGUGCUAGUAACUUAGUUCUUCUCCCUUUCGACAACCUUCUCUGAUAAGCGACUCUCCGGCAAUUCCGAUACAGUAAUACUCACAUUCGUCAGCGCAGCUGUCCAGUUCAUCGUUUAAUAAUAAUUAUUCUAUAUACAGCAAAAGUUAUUAGUAGAGAUCGAUGCAUAUAUGUGAUAUAUAGAUCUAAGUUUAGCUUGUUAUGUCAUUAUGAAUUCUACAGCAGUUGCUCUUGCUUGUAUUUUUAUGCCAAAUUAAAAAUGAGAUCGAUCGUGUCUCGCUUGCGACACGCUUAAAUAAAUGGAUUAGCCCGUCUAUGUACGUAGAUGGAUCCCAAUAAAUUAAACAAAGGUUUCUAGUUCACAUAUGGCCGCCUCGGGUUGCAAAAAUUAAAGGCACAAUUACGUACUAUUGAACUUACAAGGUUGAGUGUGUCCACCUAAUCGAUCUCCUUUAGGUCUGGCUUUGUGACAGUAGUAUGCAUAUAUUUGACUUAAUAAUUUGUUGAUGUCUUUUAAUAGGGUAGUAGGUAGGUAGGUAGGUAUUCAAAUGAUUGACGUACGAGUUGUUGUUGUUAUUUAAUUUCGAUCUCUGUAAAAAAACUUGUUGGUAUGUGGGUUCGUCGUCCAACCUAGUACAAGUGUUCUUUCAAGAAUUAUCAACUCCCUCCCCUGUUGGACCAGGGAAAAUAUUUAUAGUCUUCUCUUGCUGUUUUUGGGGCCCGUGAGCUCGCCUGUCGGGCUCAUUCAAUUUGUUCGUCCGGGCCGUCGACGAGGCUGGUUCGGUCCAUGGUAUCAACAAAACUGUACGUCGAUCGUGAUCUAUUUAUAAUUAGGGCCGGUUGAGAUAUAUGCGCAAAAUUAAAGUUUGUCGACAACUAUAUAUAACUCAUGAUUUCUGAUAGAUGUUGAAAUGUUUUUGUGUUCUAACUUAAUUAUAACAAAUCUUUUAUUACAAAUAACUACUUAUAAAUAAUAGAUGUUGAAUUAAUUUCUUGAAAUAAUAAUUAGAUGGUCUCACACGUACUCUACUCUCAGUCAAGUUAAUCGAUGAUCUGUGAUGAUCCAUAUUGUAUUCAUUUUUAAUUUAAUUUAUGCCCCGGCCGGUUUCAAUUUUUAUCUCAUCAUUCGUAGAUCCCCGGCCGGCCCCAUAAAUUAAAUAAAUGAAUCGUCAUCAAAUUAUUUAUAAGUCAAUGGUUUAUUUGUUUAAAUCUCACCAAUAAUUUUAGUAUCAAUCUCACCAAUAUUGAUUGAUAUAUUUUACAUAACUUAAUAAUAUCAAUCUCACCAAUAUUGAUUGAUAUAUUUUACAUAACUUAAUAUAUUUUAGUAUCAAUCUCAUCAAUAAUAUCUCACCAUUCUUAAUUAAUUUCUUAUCCUCGAUACCAAAAACUUAAUCUCAUCGAUCUCAUUAAAGACCCAGACCCGACCCAUUCCAAUAAAGAUCACUUAAAAAUCUCAUGAUCAAAGAGCCGGCCAUUCUUCUUUCAUCAUGAGAUGGAAUAAGUUGGAACAAGAACAGCCAGGAUUCGGGUAUAUUAAAACUUUUGUAUAUUAUAUUAAAACUCACCCGUUCCGAACACGGUGUCGUAUUAAUUUUGAUUUAAUGGAUCAUUGUUUAACCAUGUCUAAGGUCCAUGGACAGAUAAUUUAUUUUAUUGACCGAUUGUAGACCCACCCAUGCUGUUAAUUUAUAUAAUAUUUUUACACGUACGUAUAAUUGAAUUAAGUUUGACUUAUUUGCCACAUCGAUUACUUUGACUCACUCCAAAUUUAAAUUUCUAUAAAUCAAUUAAAUUUACAUCCAUCUACCAUUCAAUUCAAUCGUUUCAAUUCCUCCUAGCUCUCUCAUAUCGAAGUAACUAGCGAUUACUAAUUACAACAUGUCACCGGCGUCGACGAUCGAGGGGUUGAGGCAAGCUCAGAGGGCGAAAGGCCCAGCCAACGUUCUUGCCAUUGCCACAGCGGUUCCUGCUAAUUACAUCCUUCAAGAAGAUUAUCCCGAUUACUACUUCAGAGUCACCAAUAGCGAACAUCUCCCUCAUCUCAAGGACAAGUUGACGCGCAUGUGUUAGUGGAUCAAUGGUUUCGAUUAAAUUAGCUUUAAUUUAAUUACAUGAUUGAUUAAUUUACGUAUACAGGCGAAAAAUCUAUGGUGUCCAAAAGACACAUAUACUUAACAGAGGAGAUUCUGAACAAGAAUCCCAGUCUGUGUACGUAUAUGGAACCGUCACUUAACAUCAGACAGGACAUGGUUGUGAAGGAAGUGCCGAAGCUUGGCAAAGAAGCAGCGGCGAAGGCGAUAAAAGAGUGGGGGCAAUCAAAGUCAAAAAUCACUCACCUUAUAGUUUGCACCACUAGCGGUGUUGAUAUGCCCGGUGCAGAUUACCGACUAGCCAAGCUACUCGGUCUUCGUCCCUCCGUCAAGCGUUUUAUGAUGUACCAACAAGGUUGCUUUGGUGGCGGCAUGGUUCUCCGUCUUGCCAAGGAUAUCGCCGAGAACAACUGCGGUGCACGUGUGCUCGUUGUUUGCUCUGAGUUAACGGCGAUCACGUUUCGGGGACCGUCAGAUAAACAUUUGGAUAACCUCGUUGGGCAAGCUUUGUUUGGAGAUGGUGCCGCUGCUGUUAUUAUUGGUGCUGAUCCUGACCUCGACCUCUCACUUGAACGACCACUUUUCCAACUCAUCUCCGCUUCUCAGACAAUUCUUCCCGAUUCUGAAGGGGCAAUCGACGGACACCUCCUUGAAGAGGGUCUCACCUUCCACUUGUUGAAGGACGUUCCUAGAUUAAUCUCCAAGAACAUAGAGAAAUGCCUCGUUGAUGCAUUCUCUCCUCUGGGAAUAGAUGAUUGGAACUCUCUCUUUUGGAUCGCGCACCCUGGAGGACCUGCGAUUCUGGAUCAAAUUGAGAUCAAAUUAGGGUUGACGGAAGAUAAGAUGACUGCGACUCGACAGAUGUUGAAAGAGUAUGGCAACCUGUCUAGCGCAUCUGUUCUCUUCAUACUUGACGAGAUGAGGAGGAAGUCCAUGGAAGAUCAGAAGGAGACCACCGGAAAUGGGUUUGACUGGGGUGUGCUAUUUGGGUUUGGCCCUGGUCUCACUGUCGAAACUUUGGUUCUCCACAGCGUCAGCAUAACAAACUAGUCGUGGUAUAUGGAGAAUCGGAGAUGGUUACGGUUGUUAUUAUAUAUGCAAUUCUGCAUGUUGCAUGCUGUACGUCGAUUGCCAACAUGUCAUAUUAAAUCAUGAUAGUAAAUGUUUGUAAAUCAGAAUAAUCAUGAUAAUAAAUGUCUGUAAAACAUCUAAAAAUAAUCAAAAUAUCUUUUAGAACUGAUAUCUUUAAUAAAAAAUAUGGUUUAUAAUUAAAAAAACUAUUAUGCAAGUUUAUGAGACAAUUCUCAUUUUUUAACUAAGACAUUAGAUAGUUACAUAAGAUAAGAUCGAAAUAAUGAAAACCACAAUAUCAACCUUAUCUUAUAUUAUUUUUUCUAUUCAUUUGUAUUCAAAACAUUGUCUUUUAUUAUCUUAAUGAAAUUUUUUAAUAUUAGCAAAAUAAAUAAAUUAAAUCAAUAAUGAAAGAAAAAACUUUUAUAAGUAAAUAUUAUAGACUAAAUGGUCAAUAUCUUUUUGGUAUCUUUGACUUCUGGUACACAACCUAAAUGUUCAAUUAAUCAUGAUGAGGUGGUUGUUGUGGUCGUCAUUUGAACUUACCUCAAGAUUAUCUGAAAACUAUGAUAUUUAAUUAGGGUAAUUAAGGUAGGUUUCUGGUACGCCAUGACGCACAUGCGCCAAAAGAGUCAAUACAACGUAAUACAAGUAACGAGUUCAACUCGAGAAUAUUAUAAUUUAGUUGUUGAUAAAUAAUACAUCGUCAGUCAACGGAUUAGAAUCUAACGGCUGAAAAAAUUUCGACACAUGUGCGCCAUGGCACACCUGAAAAUUCUCCUAUUUAAUUAUUUAUCAAUGUUGUAAUAUGAUUUUCCUCAAAAGACGAUAACAUAAGAUUGAAAUAAAUGUUGUAUAUAUUAGGGAUUUUGCAAAGGAAGAAAGUAUUUCAAAUCCCAUUACAGAAAUACAUACAUUUUAACGGAAUAUCAUUGUUGAGAGUUGAGACUUCUGGUUCUUUACAACGUUGACAUAAACAACUAGUUGUACUUAACUACUUAUAACAGGCAUGCGUGCAUGGAGUCAUGGAGAAUUGGUCAUGGUUAUUUAAUUACUUGUGUGUUUCUAUUAUUAGUAUUAUAUAAACAGAGUGAGCUUUAAGUGAGAUAUAAAAAAUAAAUGAGAUAAACAAGGUAUUUUCAUAUAUAAGAAAACAAAUAUGUACAAAAAAUCAGUACAGAAUGGAACUUCUAAAGAUUACAUCAUUUGCGUGUUCACAUGUUUUGCAAAGCUUGUGUUACAAUAUGGGUAUUAAUCAAUCAUAACUUCAAAUCAAUUUUAAUGCAAUGAUGUGGUCAUGUGACUCAUGUGGAUCGAACUUCACUAUACAAUUUACUGUUUUUUAAUGGUAAAUAAUUGAUACUUUGGUGUCUAUAGGGACCGCGUCUCCAACCUCUUGUACCAUAAUUUACCGUUUUACACUUUUACAUGCUAAUAGCUCUGGAAGAUAAGUCAUCAGGCUCAGCUUCAGAUCCAACGACGUUAUUUACCUGCAAGGCGCAUACAUAUAUAUUGUAGCCAAAAUAUUUUCAACUUCACAGCUGCUUCGCAAAAACACAUAUUAUUUUUCAUUUAAACAACAGAAAAUUUACCAAGGAUUUUUUUGUCUUGGUUUUGGAAAGAUAACUUUCCAAUGCACCGUCACCUCGAAGAAUUUUAGCUCCACACCCCAAUCCCCUCACCGAACCCAUGAUUUCAUCAUCAACUACAACAGCAUCUACCCUGUCCUUCCCUGUUCUUACAUCAGGGAUCUGCAACAAUCCAAAAUUAGAAUGAAUUUUAAUUACAACUCAAAAAAGAAAAUGACUUAAACCCCCUCGUGUUUGAAGAUUCAUCUUCCCUGUCAAUACCUUUUAGGUAGGUUUUAACAUUUGAAGGUAAUAGGAUCUUUUAUAACUUAUUAUUAUGCAUUAUUCAUUUAUUUCAUCCCAAAUCAAAGUUUUAAGUUUUAUUAGGCAACCACACCUCAUACAUGGCUUCAGUUAGGAGAUUUUCCAAUAUAGAUCGUAAUCCACGUGCCCCAGUAUUUUUAGAAAUUGCUUUAUUGGCAAUUAAUCUUAGUGCUUUGUCUGUAAAAUGCAGCUUAACCUGAAAACAAUGGAAGAAAAAACUAAAAGAUAUAUUCAUUGAAAGGUAAAGAAAGAUUAUAAGUUUAUAACAUUCCAAAAAUUACUUACUUGAUUCAUGCUAAACAUUUUUUUGUAUUGUUUACUGAGAGCAUUUUUGGGCUUCAUGAGAACCUAGAUAAAAUAUCCAUACCUUAUCAAUAAAAUGCCAUAGAAUCACAAGAAGAAGCUCAAAUUCAAUCUAAUGCACAUUGAAUGUGAAGUUAUCACUUAUUACUAUCUGGAUAAGAAGUAAAAUCCUAAAUUUUAUUUAUAAAAUGACAACUUUCAGAUUUAUUGCUCAUUACUUAUAGAGCUAAAAACAGUUUAACAAAAGCUUUACGGAGAUUGAGAGAACCUGUUAAAUAAAGAAAAAUGACGUAAAAGGUAGAGAGUUUAUUAUCAUAAAUUCAUAAUGCAGUUAGAAUUAUGAUAAAAAUGAACAUUGUAAAUAAACAAGAUCAUAAUGUACCUGUACAAGUUGAUCUUCGUUUAGUGCAGACAAACUAACGAGGAUAGGAAAACGUCCAAUAAAUUCAGGUAUAAGACCAUAUGUCAUUAGAUCACCACUUUCUACCUGAAAUGAACAGUUCUUUCACAAUCAUUUUAAAAAGAAAAAAAUCGAUUUUCUAGCACAGGGCAUAGGUACAGGUUUUCCAGACAAAUGUGUAAACAGGGUUCAAUAAAACAAAAGACUUGCAGGGAAGAUGUCGACAUACAGUGGUUUUCUUACCGAUUCUAGUAGGGAAGAUGUCAGCAACGAUUCUGUUAAACCACCAGAUCUCAUAUUGGCUCGAACUGGUGCUCCAAAUCCUAUAGAAGAAUCUUGUCUUCUGUAGUUCAGAAUCAUCAAACCUUCAGUUGCAAAACCUAUGAAAAAAAUAAAGACCUGGACUUACAAUGAUGAUACAUUAUGACUAUGUCAUUACCUCUCUGAGAUUGUUUUUUCCAAAUCAAUAAAAGCUCCACCACAUAUAAACAAAAUAUCUUUUGUAUUUAGCUGUUGACAAAAAAUGGUUGGAAGAACUCAGAAAAACAAAGGUGUGGAAAACAUGGAAAAAAGUAUGCAUUUGCAUACCAACUUCAACAACUACAAUUCAAAUCCCAAACUUAAAAUGCACCUGAACAGAUGAUUUACUACCUGAUGUCAGAAUAAAUUGUUUAUUAUAAAUAUUUCUUGUGUAUUAUAUGUUCUCUUUUCAAUUUACCGGAUGGAAGAAACUAUGCAUCCCUAAUGACAAAAAAAAGGUUUAAUAACUUUCCAAACUGUAAGAUAUCACAUAAAUAUAUGUCACGAGGGGUGUCACCAGUGUAAUCUUUUUCUAGUGGCACCCCCUUAAUUUUAUACUACUACAUAAGCCACUGUUCAAAUGGGCUUCAGGACCUGGUUCGUGUCCUCCCAAGACCCGAAUGGACCCAGGGGACGGUCGCCCCGACCUUAGUGAUGGACCGCGCACUGUGAUCCAUACGCCUAGGGCCUGGAAAGUGGGUUCCGGACCUGUGGUUUUGGUGAUGGCCCAGGUCCAUUUCCUGGGGCAUCAUCAAUAUACAUAGGCAUCACACAAGUAGAUGAUAAAGAAAAUAAUUACCUGUAUAUUACUAUCACCGCGAGGAUGCUUCCGAGCACCUUUCUCAGGAACAUUCACUAUCUGGAAAAGGUAAAUUUAUUCGUAAAUACUAAAAACGAUGGAAUAUUUACGAAUAACAAAAAAGCUGAAAGUAUUCAUUUAGAAUUAACCAAGAACAUACAUACAGAUAUUAAUAAAAAUCUAACAUAGAAUUUCACAAGAUCUUCAAAAGAUAAUAGAUUGGUAUUAUUAUUUAUUUAUUUUAAUACCAAUAAAUUGCAUAUAAUUAGUUGGUCUUCUUACAUCAUCAUUGUUCCUAUUAUGUGAAAUGGUGGGCAAAUCAUCAAGUAAAUUGUAUCAAGGAACCAUAUAUAGGUAAUCACCUCGAAUGAAAAAUUCUCUAAUUACCAGUUCAGUAAGGAGAAACUAAUGACUGAAUACUGAUACAAAAAUACUAGAAGAAAUUCAGCCAAUUGGGUAGACAAACAGAUUGCAAUUGGAUAACAGAAAAAAAUUGAGAUAAACCAGUGACUUACAGUUCCUUCAAGGAUCUUCAGUAGAGCUUGUUGAACACCUUCACCAGAUACAUCUCUGCUAACAUUUUGACUCUCAGCCUACAAGUUGAAUAUUAUGAAAGAUAGAAAUCAUUUUAGUUUUUAAUUUUUACAUCAAAGAAAUGUAUUCUGAAUUUACAAAACCUUUUUUGUUAUCUUGUCAACUUCGUCGAUAUACACUAUCCCUUGCUGAGCUGUUUGGACAUUGAAGUCAGCAGCCUAAACAAGGCCAAAUUUAAACGCUUAAAAAUAUAAAUGAGAAGAAGAGAGUGCAGCCAUAAGUAAACAUGUAUACAAUACUAACUUCAAGGGGGCAAAUAUAAUUAAAAAGCUCAUCUUUGUGUUCAUAGUAGAAAUGGUGAAGUGUUGAAUGUUGAUCAACAUUGGGUCAACUAAAAGUAUUCUUAAUUUGUUAUAGAUGCUAAUUAUUUGGCAUGAGUUCAUGACUUUACAGUCAAACAAUCAAUUGUUGACCAAUAAAUAUUAUUUCAACUAUCCCAAUGCCACAAUUCAAUAGCUUUAAAAAACCUUUCGAAAAGAUGAAAAAGAAUCAAACAUUUCGAAAUUGUUCAUUUUAUACAUUUAAGCAACUUGAAAGGGAGAGGGGGAUGCAAAGCAAUAAUUCUUUUUGUAUUCUUAAAACUAAACAAUAAUCUUCCCACCAACUAAGUAACUAAGUCCUACUUUACUUAUUACUUCAUCCAUAAUAAAAUGGCAUCAAAUGGAUUUUUAUAAAAUUGUAAAUUGUGAAGUUACAAAAAUCCUACAACUCCAUGAAUCACAUGAUAGACAAUCAGUAAUGAAAGUGUUGUGUAAAUUUUAAAAUUAUUUUACACUCAGAAGAAACCAAACAAUUAAUAUCUCAUAUCUUUAUUAUUUUCCUGAAACACAUAUGGUGUAGUUAUGAAACUUAAAUCUGCUAAUUAAUGCUCGUUGGGUAGUGGGUAAAACACGUACAACAACACAAUGUUCGCAGUCUCGAACAAUGUUUAUUGAAAAGAUCAUGUGAAACAAAUCAAGUAGUAGAAUGAAAAUUGAUCAACGCAUUGAAUACAAAAAAUAUUUUACAAACAUUUUAAUUUUUUUUUGCUAAGCAUACCGCAAGUAACUUGUGAAGUAUUGAUUCUACAUCUUCUCCAACAUAGCCGGCCUGCAAGAAACGCAGUGAAUCAGCUAUGGCCUAAGAGGCUUAACGGUAGUGAUAUUAAAAACCAUAACUUUUCUGGAAUUCUGUCAAUAGGCACAAAUUGUAACCUUGCAAUCGAUAAUUGAAAGAUGGGUUUUUAUAAUGUAUAAUCUCUGUGAAAGACUAAGAGUUGUCCUCCUAUCCAUAAUAAACUUAAAAUAUAUGAUUGAUUUAGGAAAGAUGGAGUAUAUUUGAAAAUACCAAAAUAGAUAAAAAUAAUCACCUCUUAAAAAUAAUUCUGAACUAAUUCUCUGCUUAAUCUUAUUAGGUUUGCGAAUUUCCAUAGUCAAUGUUAAAAAAUAUAAAUUGUAAGAUAGGAGCUGGAUAUUUAUGGUCAUAAAAAACUGGUUUCUUUUGCAAAAUGCAUUUAUGUUCAUAAAGUAGUUUGGAAACUUGCCUGUGUUAAUGUCGUUGCAUCUGCUAUUACAAAUGGCACGUUCACAAAACGAGCUAAUGUUUUUGCAAGCAGUGUUUUCCCUGUCCUUACAGAAAAUAUUGUAGAAAGAAAGCCAAACAUCAAUCCAGACAAUAUCGUAAUAAAAAUAAAAUAUUUUUUUACGCCCGAUAGAUUAUCACAAUUCAUACAGCAAUACUAAAAACAUUACGUAAUUUAUAUCCAGAUGAAAAGGAAAAGAAAGAAGUUGUACCAGAUCCAGUUGGACCCAACAAAAGCACAUUGCUUUUCUCAAGCUCUACUGGAUCAUUUUCGUCAUUAUCAACCUCUGGAUGUUCUGAAUCCCCUCCGGAUCUGUUUAAGCAAUAGAAUAUCAUUAUAGCUGUACAAUAAUUUAGUAUCCAUCUUGAAACUAUAAUAUUAUAUGUAUGUGUAAAUUGUAAUGUGUAAAUUGUAAUGUGUAAAUGGCAGACACACACGGUUACAUCAUAAAGAUUCUAAAGAAGGUUUUGUAGAGAGCUAACUCAUUUUGCAAAGAUGAAUGAUAUAUUCUCUUGUAGUGAUUAUAAACAGCCACGGAGAGCACCUGCAACAUUGUACAAAUUGCAUGAUGCAGAUUAAUGUGGAACAACAUAGGCUUCUGUUGUGAUUUAUCAUCAAUCAGUUGAAAUGUUUCUAGAAUGAAAAUAAUGUGAUAAGUGAUUAAGAAAGCAAAGAUCGUACCUUUUUAGCCUGAUGUUGCCCAAUGACAAAUUUGUCUAGACCUUUGCAAAUCUCCUUGGGCGUUGGCAAAUCCUUCCCCAAAUUGGCCCCAGACGAUUCUACCUUGGCACCAAUCCCACCGAACCUCCCACCACCGCCACUAUCUCCACCACCUCCCCCCAUCCCCACCGCAUUCAGAUCCGACGGGAACGGAUGCCCAUGUGGUGGAGAACCCUGAACAGGCGUCAAUCCAUUAAUUCCCGGAGGCAAAGCUCCGGGAAAUGGUGGCCAAUUCUCUGGUGGUUCCCCACCAUACGCCGUUCUCAAAACAUCCCAAAACGAAAUUCUAUCCCUACUCCCUCCGAUCCCACUCCUAUCCUCCUUCUCCCCUUUCUCUCCCUCCUCUCUCUCUCCGUCCCUCGAAUCCCUCCUCUUCAUCCGGCCAAUCUCCACAAAACUCCCCUGUAAAGGCACUAUCUUGUGCGGUCUAAAGUAAUAGGCAGUCUUGCAGCUAGGACAAAGAUUGACCGCCUGGUAUCCACCGCGAUCCCCCGCCCCGGAGAUCGAUAUCGAGGAUCGAUUGGAGAAAAGCAACUCCAUGGUCUUGGAACACCUAGGACAAUUGGCCUCCGCGCGAAUUCUCCUAGUAUGGUUCUCGUUGGACCCUCCUCCAUCCCACUUGCGGCGUUCCUGCUGAAAUCGAUGACGACAGUGCGAGGACGGUGGUAAAAGGUAGACAGACGUGGAAAUUGCAGAUCGAGGGGUGAAAGAAGAAAGAAGUGGCCGUAUUGAUCGACGUAGAUGACGACGACAUCGAAGGACUGUGGACAUAUCGGAAAUGAACAAGCGGAAGAGAAAAGGAAGAUUCCGCAGUUGCCAUUUAUUUAUAGGUGAUGAGAUAUAUUUCAGUUCUAGUAUUACCGGUGGUGACGGGAUUCAAGAUUCCAUUGAAAAUCAGAUCAGAUCAGAUCAAAAGGGUGUGUUGUGUCAUGCUGAAAAUACUUGAAUCAUGAAUUCAUGAUACAAAAUUACUACAAUUAGUGGAAAUGAGAUUUUACUUGAUUUAUCUAUCGAAGUAUUUAUAGAAAUUUUAUUAGUUAACUUUUAGGAACAUUUGAACUAAUCAUUUUAUCUAGAAUCAUUAGGGAUUUGUGAAAGGAUAACACCUUUUCAAAUUUACGAACAAUGUAAAUUAUGUAAUAUUUAGAUCUGUAAUUUUAUAAUAAAGGAGAGAGAAAAAUAAAAUAUCCCUAAUAAAUGCAUAGAAAUAAUAACAUUAACAUGUGGAUUGUGGAGUUGUGGACCACUGGAUCAUGUGGUAUUGUGAAUAUGUGAUGUAACUUUAUAAUUUAAGUAUUAAAUUGGAAAGUACAGUUUAUAGAACAAAUAACACGUAAUGAAAUCAAUAAAUAGUUACAACACUUAAAGUUAAACCUUCAAUGAAUCCACGAUAUCCACCAACUCUCACUUCUCUCGGUCCUUCCUUGACCUAUAAGAAAGAAUUUUUUUUUUUUUAAAGCAGAGCUCUUUAGUCUUUACAUAAAGAGACGGAAUUUUUUACACCUCUAUACUCUUGAGGCUUGCCUCUUGGAGUCAUAAUCUUUAGAUUUUAGAUAAUUGAUACCAAGUAAAAGUUUUUUGUAUUCCUAAAAUUAGAGAAAGCUUCAUAUUUUCCAUCCAGUUAUUUAGAUUUCGGGGUUUCAGGCUUCAGUAUUUCAGGAAUUCAGACUAUUUUAAACUAAGAACUCUGUGGGUUGAAAACAAUUGAUUUAUAAAAUCUCCAUAUUUUUUAAUUGGAAAUUUUGAAGUUUAAAAAAUAAUAAAGUAUCAAGAUACAAUUUUAAUUAAUUUUUAAAUAAAAAAUACUAUUCGGAUUUAAAAAGUAAUAAAUUAUUAUUUAGGUCUUAAGCCCAAAUAAAAAAGACGGUAUGAAACUAAUAAAUACCUUCACAUGCCAUCAGUGAAAAUUUGCAUCCCAUCACAUGAGAGCUGAACUGGAAUCCCUUCCCUAAUAACAACAAAGAAUAGUAAAGUCGUAAACAGAUAAUGAACAACUAGUCUGAAACAAUCUUGUAAGAUAGUGAGUGAAAUGAAAUAUAAACAUUAUGGAUUUAUUACUCUUUGGACCAUUCUGCAAGAAUUUUAUUAUGUUCAUGAUAAUCAAAAUCAUGUGACAUUCCAACCAAAAGAGCACGCUUUGGACAUAUCCUCCUCACCGCAUCGAGUGUCUACAAUGUAAGUCCGAACAUCAUUUUGGAAGAGAGAAACACAUUAGCCAAGGGUUCAAACUAGAGAGGUAAAAAAGAGCAAAACCUGAGAAAAAUAGAAAUGAGAACCGCGAGAACUGGCCUGCGUGCAUAACAAGAACAUAAUUAAAUGAUGUUAAAGUAUCUCUUAUAUGUAUGUAUCCACUGACCUUAUGCAAUCUAUUGGUAUCUAUUAAAAGAAGAUCUAACUGCACUCCUGAUCCAUAUUUUGAAAUAACUGGGACAUUCAGAAGAAGAAAAAUUAGAACAAUUAAGAAAGAAAAAUAACAAUUAAUCGAAUGGUAUCUCUUAUUAGAAGAAAAUCUAACUGUACUCCUGAUCUAUAGUUUGAAAUAACUGCCACAUUCAGAAGAAGAAAAAUUAUAACAAUUAAGAAAAAAAAUAACAACAAUUAAUCAAAUAUCGAUACCAUUUUCAGUAUUUUCAGGAAAACGUGAAACAUCAGAAACAUAUGCAAUUCUGUAUUUGUCCCCAAAAAGGAAGCCUAAGUUGACAUAACCCUCUCCAUGCAUAACCUGCAUUGGUUUUAAAUAUUAAGAAAAGUAAUGGAGCACGGAUGCUGUUUUGUUGUUUUCGGAAUGCUACCGGCAAAGGAACAAAUUUCAAGCCUGAUGCUGUAAAUGGUUUCUCAGAGCAAUUGUCGAUGAUAUUCCAGUCUAUACGAGAUACAGGACUCCCUACUCCAACUUCUUUCAAAUUUGAUGGAAAGAGGUACCGAAAUUUCUCUACCACGCUGUAAGGUAGGUAGAGGUAAACAUGCGAAAAUAUGAAAUCUAUCAUCUAAAAGGUUUUAUUGGAUCGGCGUCAGUAUGAGUAACAUUUCGAGGGAUGAAGAUUUGGAAUGUGUAAGCUAACAAUCCUUAGGAGAUAGCUCGAUGAGUGAUCAAUAGUUGGUUGAGUGAUUGAGUCAAAUAUUCAUUUUAGAUGAACAAAUUAGGAAGUUGUACCUGUCCAUAGUGAACUGAUUGAGAUAAAUUGGCAUUGGAUCGAUAUCAUUGCGAUAAGCUUGAAGUGCUCUCACAUCAUCCAAACCAUGAAUGGCAUCAGCAUGUUCAUGGGUCAAAAUGAUCUACAUUGAUUGAUGCACGAAAAAGCUUGUAUUCAUAAUCACCAUAAGAAGAAGAAGACAACUGAAGACAAAACUCAGAAGGAGAAAAGGUUGAAAUAACGUCUCACAGAAUCUACUCGGGGAAUCUUGUAGAGAGUAAACCAGCGGAGCACUUGUUCUCUAAAAGUCUUCCCUACAUCAAUCAUGAUGUAAUUGUGAUCACUGCCUCCAGGACAAUAGUCUAUCAGCAAAGACGUAUUGCACCUAAAAACAGCAACAAUAGACAAGGGUUUAUCAAAAUGAUGUGGAAUCAAUCGAGCGAAAGAGCAGAAAUGAGAACAGCGCACCUGUAAUUAGGGCUUUGCUCGGGCGGGAGAGACAGAGAGUCGAAACAAACUUUGCAGGGAGGAUCGGAGGGUUGGAUGAGACACGCAAAUUCCGGAGUGCAUCCAGAAGACCCGGAUCCAAGAAUUAUAACUGAAGACGGGCAGUCGUUUCGGUUAGAUCCAUUGUUCUUCUCCAAAGACUCGACCUUUGCGCCCUCCUUUUCCAUCUCCGAAUUUUCCAAAGAUGAAAAUGGGGACAAAAUGUUACCUGAUAUAUGAUCUAGUUGGAACUCGUGUCUUUUCAUUUUUGAGUUUCUUCCAUUUUUCACUUCACUAGUUCUAUAUAAAAUACUAAAUACUACUAUGUCCAGGGUUUAAAAUACUAAAUACUACUGACUUAUGCACACCCGGGCGUGUCCGUUGGAUGGAACGUCAACGGUAAGAUAUUGAUUUUCUUAGUUUUUGUAAAUUUUGGUCAUUAGUUUGUUAAUUAGUUAGCUUUUAUAGGUAUAUCAUAGGUUAGGUUUCCAUAGGUGUCAGUUAUAGUUAUUUUUAUUUUAUUUUUUCCUGUCAUGUCUUCUCCGUGUCUGUUCGUUGUCAGGUGUUGAUGUCUGUGUCUUCUUUUUAUUCCGUCCUCGGAUCUGGGUUUCUUCUACCUCUGCCUUGGGUUUCUUCAUCUUCAGUUUUCGAACCUGGGUUUCUUUCUCAUUCUCCGAUCUCGUCCUCGGUUUUUUCUUCUGUCAGGUUUUUUCUUCUGUCAGGUUUUUUCUUCUUUUAUUUCUCUGGUGGUACAUCGUUCUCCAACUUCUUCCAUCUUCUUCUUGUUCAUACUCGGUAUACCGUUCUCCAGCUUUUGGGUUACUUCGUAUUCCUCGGUUCUACCGGGUUGUUUUCGUAUACCGGUCAGAUUGUUUUGGUUUCUUUCCAUUCCUAUUGUUUGCCGGAGUAUGGUUUGCCCGAAUAUCAAAUGUUUUUUCAUUUCUCCUAUUGUUUUCGUCCUCAGAUUGUUUACCGUCUUCUGUUUAGCGUUCUCUGUUUUCUCUAAGUGUUUCCCGGUUACUUUUGGGAUACUUCUUCUUCCAGUUUUCUAUUAUAGGUUUGCCAUUCACACUUCAAUUUAACAUUUUAAGAUCAAUCCUUCAUAAUCAAAGUUAAAAAAACACAAGGUGGAAUCCCAAUAAAAAAAAGAAAUGCUCACGCAUCUUUGAUUACGAACGGUCUUCAACAAGUAUAAAUAAUGUAAACGAUUUAACCGGAAAUAAUCAAGCGUAAGAUGAUUGUUUCGAUCUGUAAAUAGAAAUUGGGUUAAAUUCGUUCAUUCGUUUUUUAGAUUUUUAAUUGCUAAUGAUUUACUCUGAUAUUGGGUUCAAUUCAUUCGAUCUGCAUUUACUCCCAUAGCUAUUGGGUUCAAUAUUCUUCUUUUUUCCUUCUGUCUUGGGUUUCUUGUUUUUUUUAUUGCAUCUUUGUCUUGGGUCCUGCUAAUGUUUUUUUUUAUAGCUAUUGGUUUACUGCAUCUACCGCAACUAUUGGCUUACUUCAGUCUUUCCAUCUCCAUCCAAUUAAUUUUUGACGGAACCCACUUCCUUUCGCCGACUAGGAUCUUAACUGGUCUCCAGUUCUUGGGAAGCAUCCUUUAAACAACAUAUGUGAAUAAUAUCAACGGCAGAUUUGCUUCAAUAAUUACAAGUCAAAGAUUGCUUAAUAAAUACUUCGAGGAAUUGGUUACAUAAAAAUCGUGAAAUUAUAAUAAGUCAAAAGAAAUUCAUUAUAAUCGUUACAUUAUUAAGCAUAAUCAUUAUAAGUGAAGAAAAUAAUAAUAAUUUUAAUUAUCGUAACAGUAAUUAAUGAGAUGCAUACUAAAGAUUUAAUUAUCGUAAGAGUAAAUAAUGUGCUACAUAAGAUUAAAUAAUGAGGUGCAUAAUAAAGAUGAAAACCAUACCUAACUCAACAACAAAUAUGUUUAAUAUUUUACCGGAAAAAAAGAUAAUGGACCAAGGUCCGACACCAUUUGGAGGCCCUCGAAAGAAGCAUGGAGUAGAAAUCUAAAACCUUAGGAUGUACUUUAAUUUUUUCAGGAGUGAAGCCAGAAACUCGAAGAUCUUCAAUUGUCGUGACUCGAGAUAGAGUUACGUAUACCAUUCCUGAUCCGAAUGCUCGAGUCAGAUCGGUAGUCAAACGAUCAAUAGUCAUCCUUUGACAUUUGUGAACACUCAAUGCCCACGCUAAUAUCAACGGAACCUGCCUUCGAAAAGUCAUAACUUCACUGCUUUCCAUAAUGUCCCAUUUUUCAACAUCCAAUGCGACUUCCAAUCCUGAGUCGAAUCGAACUAUGGGCACCAUACCAUUCAGGUUGUUUUCCGAUGACAUUAAUGAGCCUCCUUUGAAUCCUGUAACUACUCCAGUAGCGCCGUUUACGAGUCCGAUUACUUGAUUAAUGUUCUUGAUCAGCAUUACUCUAGCGUCAUUGCAUAUUUCUAAUUCAUCUGGAGCAAUUUGAUAUUUCAACUGAUGUAACCAUAGCGAAGAACCUUUACAACUGCACGAAAUCUCACUACCUCCUUCCCCACACUUUUAAAACGCUCCUGAUUGACUCUUCUAACGUCAUCGAUUCUUGGAAAAAAUCGAGUUUCCUGAUCUAUUUCAUCACUAACGUCAUUAACAGAUGUAGUGUCAUUGAUCAACCUUUUGAAAUUUUUAUUAUCACGAUCAACUUGACCGCGUUGGAUUCCUUCAAGGGAUUCAAUCAGUUGAGAAUCUGACUGACGGUAAACAUGGGUUAAUUCCAUCUGAAUGUCGAAUGUGGUUUCCCAACAAACAGAUUCGAAAGCAAAUUCAAUUUGCGGGUUUGGAGCAUUGAUGGGAGGAAGUUGGAAGAAGUAGCCACUAAUAAUCAGUUGAAGAUCUCCCCAAGGUUUAUCCCCUUUGUACAGAGAUUUGCUGAUCGUGUUGGACACGAACUCAAGAUUAUCGAAAAGCUCACCGUCGAUCAUGUUGAUCUCAUCAAUUACUAGCGCUUUAGCUUUCUUCUAGAGGUCGACGGCCUUACUGCUUUUAAAGACAAGAGAUUAGUUCUUUUUUGGUACCUUUUCCUAACCCGACGCCGGCGAAGGAGUAGAGAGUCUGUCCACCUAAAGCACAUGCGGCAACGCAGUUGAAGCAGUCAAAAACUGAGUUGGGAUGAUGAAGUCGUUGGAGUGUGAAGACGGCGUGUCUUAAAAAAAACUCUUACCCAUCCCGGCAGAACCGGUAAUGAAGACCGAUUUUCCACUAGCUAUUGCAGAAAUUAGUUGUUCUUGCUGUGUGCUGAGACUGAUUUUCGAACUGCCGUUGACAGAAGAUGGAGAUUUCAGACCAUCGCCGUCACUAGAACAACCGGAGUAAUUAUCUCUGGCCCUCUUCCUAACACCCUUGUCUUGCGACGCCAUUCGCGAGUACAAAUCACUGCAACUCAAAUACAGCUAUUGACAACAAAAAUUUUAUAGAGCCAACAAUAAAAUUAUAAUCUAAAUUAACGUCUGGAUUUCUCGAAUACCCAAUUCUUCCGGAUGGCAGAUUUCAGAAUCUAAGGUCCUCCAGGCAGCAGAAAAGGGAACAUCAUUGGGGAUUUAUUCGAUAUCAGUUAAUACAUACAGUUAAAGGGAUUCUAAUUUAAACCAAAUAACUAUCCAUAUUCUAAUUUAAACCAAAUAAGUAUCCGUUAAUCAACAUUUUAAUUGGAUUGAGGUAAUCGAAAUUUCUCCAAUACGGUUAUCGGAUAAAUUGCAUAAAUAGUAGAGGAAUCAGAUUCUUCUAUACCGACAAUAUUUCAGAUUCUGUCGUCUUCUUUCUCGAUGGGUUAUGUAGAAUUUCAUCUACUUCUUCUUCCAGAUUCAUCGAUCUUCUUUCUUUUCUAAUAGUUCUGUCUCUUCGUUCUUCUGUUAAGAUAGCACUACAAAAAACCAUCGCAGUUCUGGCGCCCAUCUCCCGACGGCCAGGCCGCCAGAAUGUUACACUUGUCCUUCGGCAUAAUUUUCCCUCGUAAAUGAGAGAAAUGAGCUGGCGGCCAAGCCGACGGUAUCUUUUUUUUAAGAUGCCAUCGGCUUGGCUGCCAGCUCCAAUUUUCCCAACGGUCAGGAAGAAGUGAGCCGGCGGCCUGGCCACCGGCAUCCUAAAACCAUCAACGGUCGGGAGAAAAAUUGCUGGCGGCUUGGCCGCUGGCUACUUUUACAACUUUUACAACUUACAACUUGCUGGCGGCUUGGCCGCUUGUUUUUUUCAGUAACCCUAAAAUUACAACUUGUGCCGUCGCCCGUACAGUCAAAUCUAGUCAACUCGAACUUAAGUAUUUCCCGGCGGCCUGAAUUUUUUAUAUAACUAAAUUUUUUUCAGAUUUCUUUUAUUUUAUUUCCCCCCAAAAUCCUCUCCACUUCUCCCAUUCCUCUCUAACCCUCCCCAAAUCCCUUCGGCGAUCUUUCAGCCACUUCUCUCCGGUCAUCCUCGAAGUUCAUCCUCAAGGUAUGUUUUUCGUCUUCAUUUAUUUCUUAUCUUGUUUUUUUUGUUUUUUUUUGUUAUCUUUUUCAUCUUCUAGUCUGUCCUCCGUCCACUUCUCUCCGGUCAUCCUCGAAGUUCAUCCUCAAGGUAUGUUUUUCAUUUUCAUUUAGUUUUUGUCUUAUUUUUUGUUAUCUUUUUUAUCUUCUUCUCUCAUUUUUUUUUGUUGUUUAAAUUUGGGGGUUUAUGAUUUGUGAAACUUUGAGUUAUUACGGGGUUUAUAUUUAGAGUUUUAUGAAAUGAGGGUUUCUAAUUUAGGAUUUUAUGAAAUGUUAGUUUUUUAAUUUGGGGAUUUGAUUUUAUUUAUUUAGAGUGUUUGAUUUGUGUAAGUUUUUAAAUGUUUUAACUAUUAGGGUUGAUGUUUGAUUUAGUAUGUUGUUUUUAAAUGAUUUUGUGUUUUGAUGUUUUUUUAAGUAUUUUAAAUUUACUGUUUUUGUUAAAUGGUUUGCUGGAAAUUUAUUGUUUAACACUUAUAUGGUUUGCUGGAAAUUUUAUUUAUUGAUCUAUAAUGUUUUUUUUUUAAUCUUUUAAUGUUUUAUUUUUGUGUUUGCUGGAAUAGGUAGUUGAUAAUUGAUCUUUUAAUCUUAUAAAUUUUUGAUCUAUAUGGUUUGUUGGAAUUUUUUGUUAUUGAUAUAUAAUGAUUUUUUUUUUUAUUUUUUUAAUGUUUUAAUGUUUUAUUUGUGUGUUUGUUGGAAUAGGUAGUUGUUGGAAUUUUUGUUUUAAGUUUUUAAUUAAAUGUUCUGUUUUAAAAUUUGAAUUAAAUAUUCUAUUUUAAAUUUUUAAUUAAAUGUUUUGUUUUAAAUAAUUAUUUAAAUUUUCUGUUUUAAUUUAUGUUACUAUUUAUGUAAUUUUUUUAGGUUGAAUUGUUGUUGGAUUUUGUGUCUCCGAUAUCCGAUCCACGAGUGAAAUUCAAGUUGUGCUUUAAUCUUUAUCGAUCGAUCAAUGUAAUAUUUUUCAUUCAUUUUAAAUUAUUCAUUUAUUAAUUAGUUAAUAUAAUUUACAUGUUAAUUAAAUAAUUGGAAAAUGAAAUGUAUUUUCUUAAAUUGUAUGAAUUUAAAAUGAAUACAAUUUUUUUGAAAUGAAUGCUAUGAAAUAAUGAAAUUCCAUAAAAUGAAUUGAAAUACAUGAGUUAAAAUGAAUGCAUAUGUUAAAAUGAAUGCAUGAGUUAAAAUUAAAUCAAAAUUUAAAUAAAUUUAAAAAUUAGUUAAAUAAAUGUUUACUAAUUAUUUUAUAUAAAUAUGUUUUUUAAUUAGUUUAUAAUAAAUGUUUGGUAAUUAUUUAUUAAUUGAAAUAAUUAAUAAAUAAUUAUUUAAUUAAAUUUAAAUAAUUAUUGAAUUAAUUAGGGUUAGGGUUAGUUAGUUAUUAAAUAAUUGUUAAAUAAUUAAUUAUUAAUUAAAAAAAUAAUUAAUAAUUAAUUAAAAAAAUAUUGGAAAUUCCAAUAAUCAGUUUUUAUAUGAAGAACUUGAUUUAAAAUCAAAUGUUGAAAAUAAUUAUUUAAAAAUUAAAAUCAUUUAUUUAAUUAAUAAUUAAUUAAAGUUAAAUAAUUAAUUAAUAAUUAAAAAAAAUAACAAUUAGAUUUUCUAUAAGUGUGAUUGUUAGUUAAUUUUUAAAUAAUUGUUGAAUAAUUAAUUAUUAAAAACACUCACAGUAUAUAUAUGUUAUUGAAAUUUUAAAUGCUGAUAACAACAUUUAAAAAAUUUAAAAUACUGAAAUUUGAAUUCAAUUUUGACGGCACAAAUUACUGACAUGUCAAUUAAUGUGAGUUGUCAAUCAGUUAAUGUCAGUUAUUAUUAAUUAAUUAUAAUCGUUUAUUUUGACUAAAACUAAUUGUAAAAUUGUAAUCGACUUAACCUAAUUCUAAUAUAGUUUAAUUUCUUUUUCUAAAAGAAAACAUCUUUUGACAUCAUUUAAUGUCAAAAGACAUCAAAUGUCAAUCUCCGAUUGAUUGACAUGCUUCUGAUGCCAGCUUUUAUAAUGUCUGUAAAGUUGUUUGAUAGUUGAUAUUGUUGGGUAGAAAAAAAACGAAUUGCACUGGUGAUGUGCAUUUUCUACUCCUAACAAGUCAUGUACAACAACGGAUUAAGAGUUGAUCGGAUGACUGGGCAGACUAAAUAGGAAAUUUUAUUUCGGAUGAUCAAGUUUUGAUUAAGACUGUGCAGCCACAGAUUGACACAGUAGUUAAUAUAAGAAAUCAUGUUGAGGUACACUUAGAAGAUACGAAGCGGGCUAAGAUUGCAUGGAAAUUUAAAAUGUAUGUUUUUUCUAUUUUAAAUAAAAGAACACCUGAGGGCCAUAACUCAUAAGUACAUAGGUACAAACGGAGAAGAUUAUAAAAGAACGCCUGACCGUUCAAGUACAAUAUCUAUCCGUUUUCCAUCUAAACUUACCCUAAACAUAUUUUUCACUCCAUCACGUUCUUCACUUCCGCGCCGUUGAAACAUGGUGAGGAGACUGGAAACAGUAGGAUCGUCGACGCUACCUAAGAGGAACAGAGGUCAUAGAACUCACGGGGGACAGUAAUUUACUAACUGAAUCUAAUAAAGGAAGAGGAUCAUAAUUUACUAAUCAAAUAAACAAUGAUUAUUUGAAUAAGGUAAGAAAACGACUAACAUAUGAAAUAUUGUAAAAGUAGAGACGUGGUGAUGUGCAAAAUAGUUUACUAAAAUAAAUUAAAUGAAAAACAACAACGAUAACAAUAACAAAUAUAUUUAAAAAGAAUACUUAGAUUUAAAUUACAAAUCAGCAGAACAAUGUAAACAUUUGGCUGAAAGAUGUCAAACACUAAUCGACCAGUCAUUUAAUCUUUUUAAUUCAGUAUUAGUAAUAAAAAUAAAGGCGGACGAAAUAUGUGGAUAACGACUUCUGUAAAACUAAGAAAAAUCUUUGUAUUUCUUCUGAAUGACACGAAGAACAAACAAUCAAUUUCUUAAAAACAUGAAGAACAAAACAUAUACAUUCUGAUCAUACAAGAUGAACAAAAUACAGAAAACUAUAAAAAUAUUAACAAACCAACGAACAAAAGGACAAAAAUCACAUUAACGAAAUAUGCAAUUAAAUUAACAUAGAACUUCGACCAGAACUCGAAGAAUCAUACAGAGUACGGUGGUUCGUCAAAAGACAGAGAAGCAUUAACUGCGAUUCAACUUCGAAAACGGGGAUAAGGGAAAAAAAAGUUAUAAAACCAUAUCAACGGAAAAAAUAGAUAAGGAAUAAAAUAUUACAGAACCAACCAGAUGAACGGAACGACAGUCUUAGACACCCGGAAAUAUUGCAGAACCAACUUCGAGAACUAGGCAAAUGGAAUAAAAAAAUCACAAGACAAAAAAACCAUAUCAACGGAAAACAGAGAAAAGGAAUAAAAUAUUGCAGAACCCACCAGAUGAACAGAACGACGGUCUUAGACAACCGGAAAACCUAAAAUACAAAACACCAGAAAACUAGUAACGCCACAGACAGUAACUAAGAAGGAAGAUUAUCUAGGAAGGACAAGAAAUGUUAGAACUUUUGAGUUAUCGGAGGUUAUAUAGGGGGGUUGGUAAGAGGGUCAUCGGAGGUUAUGUAGGGAGGGGUUAUCGGAGGUUGGUAAUGGUUAGUAGCGGGGUGGAAGACGGUAAAGGGUAGUAGAAGGUGGAAGAAAGCAGGAGGGAGAAGAAGAUGGUAGUGGUUAAAUAGGCAAAAAUUUAUGUGAAAAGACUAGUUGACAAGAUUGCUAGAAGGUUAAACAAAUAGGUAUGUAGUGUAAUUAAUUAUUAUUCUAGUACUUACUAACUUCUUAAUGAUCCUACAAAUUACGUGCUUAUGGGUUCACAUGCUCGCACUCAAAAAUAAAAAGCCAUGUGUUAUCCGGAAGAACCUGAUCCAAGGAUCGAUGGUGAUCGAAGAAGAGCGGUGGCAGUUUCGGCUCCCUUCAUUGCUCUUCGAUCCCUCUUUUUCCAUCUGUGAUGGUGAAGAAGACGGUCUGGACCCAGUGGCGUAUCCAGGAUUCCCCGACAGGGGGGGCAAGAUUCGCCGAAGGCGAAAAAAAUUUUUUGUACUAAUUAAAAAACCUAUACAAAUUUUGGCAUGACCUAUCAUAUAAUUGAUUAUAAAAACCUAUAAAAAAUCAAUACAUUCAUUAUAUAAUUAAUAUUCAAUACAUUAAUUAAUAUUCAAAUUAAAAAUAAAUAUAUUCAUUUAAUUAACAAUAAAAAUUUCAAAUACAUUUUACAUUACUUCAAUGUCCUACGACGAAGACACAUAUCAUUAAAUAUUUUUAAAAUAACUUCGUUGUCUAUAGUUUUAAAAAUAUCUUUCUCGAUAUAUGUUACUAAACAAUCAUUUAUCAAACUAUCACCAAGGCGAUUUCUGAGACGAGUUUUAAUGUGGGAAUCACAUUAAAGAAAUAAAUAAAAUGGUUCCUCUUUAAUUAAUUAAAGAAAGAAAUAAAAUUCACAUGGAUAUUUAAUCAAUUUAGGUCCCUGUUUUAAAAAAUCACAUGGAAUGAUGAAAAUUCAUAUUUUUUCAGGUUGAUGAUAGUUCAAUUUAAUUUUUUGCAAAUGGUUCAUUAUCCUGUUUUAAAAUGGUACAUUUUUUUCCGGAUCAAGCUAGGUUAAACACAAACGGAUCAAGAAUUCAAAAUAGACGGACAUACCUAGAGCCUAAAGGCUAGAGAGUAGUGGAGACUGGACUCUGGAGAGUGGAGACGAACUGAAGGCAGUGAAAUCCGAUGGUGGUGGUGUCCUGUGGGCUGUGGCACAAUAACUGAAUCUCGAUGGACGGUGGUCAGAACGUGAGAGUUUGGCCGGUUGACCCUGAGAUGAUCGUGAGGUGGAUGGGAGGAGGAGAGAUUGGGGGAAGUCGUGAGUUUUGGGGAAGGAGAUUGGGGGAAACAAGCUAGAUUGAAGGAAAUUAGAUGGAGGGAAACGAGAUUGGAGGAUGGGGCGGAAAAUGAGAUUGGGGAAAUAAUAUUGGCGAAAGAAUAUUGGGGAGAUUUUUGGAGAAAUCGUGGGUUUUGGGGAUAUUGGGGAUAUUGGGGAAAUUGGGGAAAUUUGGAGGAUAUUGGGGAAAUAUCGUGGGUUUUGGGUUUGGGGGAGAGGUUUAGGGAUUUAGAAAUUUGGGGGAGAGGUUUAAGGAUUUAGAAAAUUUGGGGAGAGGUUUAGGGAUUAAGAAGAUUUGGGGGAGAAAUUUAGGGAUAUUUAAGUUUUUAGAGAUUUAUAUGUAAUUAAACUUAAAAUUACAUAUAUUGUAAAAUUUAUAUAGUAUAUAAAUAUUGUGAAAUUUAUAUAUUAACCCUUAAAAAAUAUUAAUAUAUUAUGAAAAUUACACUUAACCCCCUAUAAAAAAUUUAAUUACAUAUAGGUCCUUGGAUAUUUUCCAAAUUUUAGGGGGGGCAAUUGCCCUCCCUUGCCCCCCCUGGAUACGCCCCUGUCUGUACUCCGCAUUCCGAUGAGUGAACGGGUACCCGACCUGGUAUUGCACCUGGGUUUGGGUUAUCAUCAGUAUUUGAUUUUUCUAUUUAUAGUAAAGAUUCAUCUUGUAGUACUAUAUACCAUUAUUAGUUAUUAGCUGGUGUUUACAUCUUAUGUUCCUUAUUUUCCUUACAAGUGUGGUCCUUGGUUGUAACUUAUAAUUAAUGUAAAGUAAGAAUUAAUUUUUUGUACUUUAGAAUACAAGAAAUACACUUGUAAUUUAAAAUGUAAAGCUUGUACUACUUAUUUUCCCAGUAUCCAAAUGGAUUAACAAGUUUUACAUAUUUCACACAUCCUAUCGUACUUUUAGUUGUUUAAUCAAUUGUCUAUCUUUCUUAUUAUCGUAGAUUGUAAUUCCUUUUAUUUUAUUUUUAAUAUAAAUCGUCAUUGGAAGAAAAAAAUGGAAAAGACAAUAAGCCAACCAAUUUUUUUUUCUCAACUCAUAUUUUGAAAGUACUUUUUAUAAAAAUACGUAAGAUCAAUAUAAGAUAGGUAGAGAAAAAAAUAUAUGGAACGAAAACAAUGUAGGUAAAUUUUAAGAUUAAAUGGUAAAUAUCAUCUAUCAAAGUCUAAAGUUUGGAGAGAGUAACAUGUUUACUUUUUUUUUUUACGUUUUAAAAUUAAUAAAUUAUCAACUGAUUUUAAAUUAUAAAAAUGUGAUGGAGUAAUAGUGUUGCACUGGUAACUUUGAUAAAUUUAUGUAUUUCUUUUGGUGUAAAUUUUCAUAAGUUUAAUUAUUACCAAAAAUGUUUAUGUAGGUAACCUUAUAAAAAAAUGGUGUUGCCCUCUUGCAUGCUCAAUUUUCCAUUGCCCUCUCUUAAUUUAGUUAAUUCCCUGGGUUCUGUAAUAUAAUUACUGAAUAGAGAACAUUUACAUUAUAGUAGAAAUUAAAUGAAAAUUAUAUAUUUUAGGAUUCAGAAUUUUAGUCUCGUAAUUUUUAUCACGAUAUAUUAAUAUUUGGUACCCUCGUGAGAUUCUCCGUUCUCGUUCUCGAUACCUGUCCCGUACCCGGACGAAAUCCCCGGCCAUUUCCGGGUCGGGAAUGGGAAUUGUAUAUAAACUUUAUAUAAUAUUUUAUAUAGUAUAAUUUAUAUAAAUAACCUUAUACAAUAUAUUAAAUACAUAAGUAUAUAUUUAAAAUAUAUUAUAUAUCUAUACAAAAAUUAUAUUUAACCUCUAUAAAAAUGAUAAAACAUAAUAACACAUAUAACAUAAAAAUCUCAAUUCUCAAAUAAGUGAAAUAAUUAUUUAGACUAUUUACAUUUAAAUCAGUAUUUUAAUUAUUUAUUUUUAUUUUUUUUGAAACAGUUAAAUAUUUUCAUUAAUCAUAAUGAAGGAUAAUAUUGCCCUGAUUACAUUGGGGAUAAGAAAAUAGAAUAUGGUAAAGAGUACAAGACUCAUUUGAUACUUUCCAUAUAACCAUACUGCCUAGUGUUGGGGACUAGGUUAUCUGCCUCCGGAGGUUGGUCUCUCAUAUUUGUAUCGUGUUAUGCCUCAAUGGGUGACAACAUCUUUUCUCGAAGCCCUCAGGAUUGAAGGAAAAACUUAUGUCAUUUAUUAUCUCGUUGAGUACCGUUUCUUGUGGUCUGAGUAAGUGUUGCUGCCAUCUUUUUUUUCUGCCCAUAUGUGUUAACUUAAGGCUUCAAUCGUGUUCCAUGAUAAACCUAGCUUAAAUUGGAGAGUGACGUGUUAGCUUUUGACAUACCUUAGUUAGGUCUCUUAGCCUAAUGUCUGGGUGUGUGGUUGUGGGUGUUGGUAUCUAUGUUCAUGAUUUUUCAAAAUAUAUUGUCUAAUUUUUCUAUUAAGGGUAAUAGAAUGACUCUAGGCAAGUGCAGUUGAAAAAUAGGUGAUUUCUCGUUUCAUUUUCAGUGAUGUAUAAUAGGUAUAUGGUUUGGUUAAGCAUGUCCCAUCCAUUUAAUCCGAUGAAGGUGUUUAUAUGUCCCCAUUUUAUUCUCCAAUGGAGAAUUUUGUGGGUUUGUUUGACCAUAUUUUCUAUGCUAAAUUGUGACUUUUAUCUUUAAUUAUCUCAGCUAUUAUUUUUUUUAAUAUUUUGGUAGGAGAUUUUUGGGUCUGGGAAAAUUAUAUUUAAUCCUAGCCCCGUCUCCUACCCGGUCAGUUGGUCACCCCUACCUCUGUUAUAAUAAAAAAAAAGUAUGACGUAAGCCCUUACUUAAGUUCGCGAGUCCCCAUGAAUCAUGAACUUGACCAACCCAUAGUACCCUACUACAUUUACAUUUGGGUCCCUUCACAUUUUACAAAGUAUUAUAUAUAAUAACUCUAGGCCAGCCAAGGAAGGAAUCGAUAUAUUAUCCUUCUAAAAAAAUAAAAUUCAUGAUAAGUUUAAUUAUCUUACACAGUAUUGUCAAUGGCCGACUGGUUGCCGGCCGGCGGUCCUUUCACUGAAUUUUAUUGCGUGAUAAAUGAUGGAUAAUAUUUAUUAAGUGCAUGGCAUAUUUAUUGCAAUUAAUGCAUCCCUGGCAUUUCUAAUUCUUGUGCCCUUCAAAUAAUAGACGACCACUUACAUCGAUUCAUUUAAUUUUUCUUCUUUUUUUACAGCAGAUGACAUAGUUAAAAUAAAUUAACAGUUUAGAUUAAUAUUUCAGAAGAUAUUUUAUUUUUGAAGUAAAAAAAAAAUCCAAAACUGUAAUUGAAACCAAAAGCAUAGAUCGCCAGUCAAGUCUUUACUUCUUUUACUUGCUUCUAUCCUAUUGCUUACAGAUUUUUUACAGACCUACGUACGAGGGUUGUUGGCAAGAAGUAGUACUCCAAUCAACUGGGUAGCGUAUGUAUGUAUGUAUGUGUAUGAAAUUAUGCAUGCGUUUGCUGCUAUGAAGAGACUGGAAAUUAAUGCGGCUGCCGGCAGUACAAAUUAGAAGGAGGUGGAAGUAAUUAACAUUGAAUGCUUGAGAUCAAAUUGAGAUGAAAUAUUGUUUGGUUUGUUUUUAAUCACUGGAUUUUACUGCUGUUUUUUUAGGUAUUAUAUUGCUGUCUUUAUUUUCCCUAGCUAGUUCAAAAUUGAAUUUCUUGGAAGUUGGAGUGAAAAUGUAUAGUGUCUGAAAUUCACAAGAUUAAUUCCUCUUCUUCUUCUCUUCCAGUCUCUCUAUUGGAUGUGUUAUUAUAUAUAUAUGAGUGGAGAGAAGUAGGUUUUUGACACCAUCUUCACUACUGAACUACUCAUCUUCUUCCAUAUAUUGUCGAUCUGCAGCAUAAAGAAAUAAUGGGGAGGCCACCAUGCUGUGGAAAAAUUGGUGUGAAGAAAGGUCCAUGGACACCGGAAGAAGAUAUCAUCUUGGUUUCUUAUAUCCAUGAGAAUGGUCCUGGAAACUGGAGAGUUGUUCCUUCCAACACAGGUUUAAUUAAUUGAAAAAUCUUGGCAGGUGUUCAAUUUGUGUAAUUAAUUAUAAGUAUGGCAAUUGGCAGGUCUUCUGAGAUGCAGCAAGAGUUGCAGGUUGAGAUGGACUAAUUAUUUGAGACCAGGGAUCAAAAGAGGGCAAUUCACAGAUCAUGAAGUCAAGCUCAUCAUCCACCUUCAGGCUCUUCUUGGAAACAGGUGUGUACAUAUAUGAUCGAUGUUGUUUAAUUUACUGAGAUAUAUGGAUCAGACGAUCGAUCGAUGGUGUAUUAUAAUUAAUUAAUAUCACUAUAUUUUGGUUUAGGUGGGCGGCAAUAGCUUCAUACCUACCGGAGAGGACAGACAACGACAUCAAAAACUACUGGAACACGCAUCUGAAGAAAAAACUGAAGAAGCUUCAUUCAUCUCAAGGUAACGAUGGAUUCACCAAAGGGCAGUGGGAGAAGAAACUCCAGACUGACAUAAACAUGGCGAAGAAAGCUCUAUGUGACGCUCUAUCCAUUGACCAGCCAAACAUAAAUGCUUUGCAGACCUAUCUCUCUCCAACCCAUCAAAAACAGAAGCACCAAA